CGGAACAGGACGGAGCGCGUGCAGCGGCAGGGCUACGGGUUGUGCGUCCGCAAGACCACGGAGAUCAAGUGGCACCUCUGGUAUUUGUCCUUCCAUUUCGCAGAGAGAAGGCGAGGCUGGUCGUCAUGCCGGAGCAGCUGUUCACAAUGGUGGAGGGCAAGCUCCACGGGGCCACCCUAUGCCUUGCCAUGAGCCCAGGUGAGUGGACGGUCAUCGGCGCGCUAUAGCAGGUGGACACAAGGUUCGUCUAUGACCUCAAGGAUGCCAAACUGUCCUUUGUGUCAGAGCCGUGCUCUCAGGACACCGCCGGUGUAGAUUAAACUGAAGUGAAUGAACCGGCAGCAGUGCUUCCCAUGGACGUUCGACAUGGGUAGCCAAUUGUUGCUUGUAAACUCCAUUGAAUAAAAGGGAAACACUCAGAAUUCAGAAUCCACCAUUACUCUCCCGCGUCUUCGGCCUCGUGCAUGCGGCAGGCUUCAUGUGUCCUCUCGCCUUCUUCCUUGUCUCUCUUCCUCGUCCGAAUGAACGAUUUUCCCGUUCCUCCCUAAGAAAUGGUGAUGCUCCUCGUAAUUGAGUCAUGGUGCCAUUUCCAACGGCCAGCGGUGCCGGAACACCAUCCCGCUGCUUUGGGAUGGCGAGGCGCUUCUACAGUAACCAGCCGACAUCCGCUCCCAUGUGGAUGGCUUCUAUAGAUCUCUCUUCUCGGCCACCCCAAGAAGGCGAUUUGCUCUUGCUCCGGACUUUUGGCCCAUUCACCAGCGCAUCUUGCCGGCUGAGAACGAGGCUCUUACGGCCCCUUUAUCGGAUGAGGAGGUCUGGUUAGCCAUUAAGGGUAUGAACUCGGCUUCCACCCCGGGCCCGGAUGGCCUUCCGGUGAAGUUCUUCCAUACUUUCUAGAAUGUUAUUAAUCAGGAGGUGAUGGCACUAUUCGAGGAGUUCUUUGUGGGCGCCAUCGACCUCACCCGCCUGAACUAUGGAAUCACCACGUUGAUACCGAAAGUUCCUGGAGCUUCGGACAUUCAUCAGUUCCGCCCUAUCAUGGUUAUCAAUGUGAUCUUCCAUAUCCUGGCUAAGGGGUACGCCAAUAGGGUGUCCCCGCUUGCCGACCGGAUCACCCACCCAGACCAAGCGGCGUUCAUUCGCGGCCGAUAUAUCCUAGAUGGCAUCAUUGUCCUUAACAAGGUCCUGCGUGAGGUUCACAACAAAAACCUCAAGGAGGUUUUCCUCAAGAUCGACUUCCACAAGGCCUACGACAUGGUCGGCUGGCCCUUCCGUAGGGAAGUAUUGCUCCGGAAGGGAUUCGACGACCGGUGGGUUACUAGGGUGAUGCAAAUGGUUACCUCCAGAUGGACUGCUAUGAACAUUAACGGGGAAAUUGAUCCCUACUUCCCCACUUCCUGUGUGGUUAGGUCGGGUGACCCAUUCUCCCUUUUUUGUUCAACAUGGUGGUGGAUGCCCUCGCAUCCAUACUAGAUCGGGCCAAAGCUGCUAGACAUAUCCAUGGCCUAGUUCCCCACCUGGUGGGCGGCAAGGGGGUUUCCCUCCUGCAAUAUGCCGACGACACUAUCAUCAUGGUGGAAGGCUCUGCGACAGACAUCACGAACUUGAAAUUCCUUCUGCUCUAUUUCCAACAAAUGUCGGGCCUCAAAAUUAACUUCAACAAGAGCGAGGUGAUGGUGCUUGGCUACUCCGCCACGGAACGCUAGAGUAUUCCGGACCACCUUAACUGCCAGCUGGGCUCCUUCCCCAUGUCUUACCUGGGGACACCAUUAGCAACACUAGGCUGACCGUGGCCGAGCUAAGACCAUGGUGAAUAAGCUCCAACACCGCAUUGAGCCUUGGCGGGGUAGGUGGCUGUCCAAAGCAGCUCGGACAAUCCUCAUAAAUUCAUCACUAUCUAUCCUGCUCCUGUUCAUCAUGAGCUUCUACAACCUGCUAGAGACAUUGCAUCAUGCGAUCGCCAAGAUCCAGGUAUGUUUGUUAUGGGUACGCGAGGGAUACAAGCAGGAGUACCAUAUGGUACGAUGGCCGGAAAUCUGCAAGCCGCGGGAUUAGGGCAGACUGGGGAUUAUGUCCUCCAAGCGCAUGAACAUUGCCCCCUAUCCCGUUGGUUGUGGCGGGUCGCUAAGGGAGAGGGCGGCUUGUGGCUAGACAUUUGUCGGAGCUGGGGUUCUGGCAGACCCUUGAGGUUCGAACACUGGGGUGCACGCGAAGGUUUUCUCCCUAUCGAUCCACGCCCUAGCUCUCUAAGAUCUCGCAGACGAGCACGACGAACUCUCAACACAGAAAGACACAAGAUUUAUACUGGUUCGGGCCACCGUUGUGGUGUAAUACCCUACUCCAGUGUGGUGGUGGUGGAUUGCCUCUUAGGCUAAUGAUGAACAGUACAAGAGGAAGAAUAGCCUCUUGAGGUCGAGGUGUUCUUGCGUUUGGUGAGCUUGUGUGUGUGAGGAUCGGAAUCAGCUGCCGACUUGUGAUGGUGUCGAUCUGAUGCCCCUCAUGGUGGUGGCUAGUUCUACUUAUAAGGCCCUGGUCCUCUCCCCAAAUAUUGAGCGGGAAGGGAGCCAACAACGGCCAAUUCGAAAGGGGACAACUAGUACAAGCUAUCCUGACAAAAGGUGGUCUUCGCCUACAAAGGCUCUGGUGAUGACACCGUCUUGGGCUCCAUGGUGACCUCCGUCUUGCCGUCCUUCUGGUCUUGGUCUCGUUGCACCAAUAUGGAAACCUUUGCUUGAUGCCUCGGUACUCUGCGCCUGCGCUUGCCCCCUUAGCACCAAAGAGGAAACAAGGACGAUGCGCGCGCUGGCGCCCACCUGGCGCCCGCCUGGUCUCGAUCGUCAUGGCUCAUGUCACGAGGAGCCUCACGAGGUUUGCCUUGCCUUGAUCUCUCCGCCCCUUGUGAGUCUGCCUGGCGAGGCCGCUCUUGAGGAGGUCUUGCGUCAUCCGCCCCACGAGGCUUGGCCCCUCGCGAGGGUCUUGAAUGUCUUGUCGAUGAAGAUGGGUGGUACGAACCUGCCAGCCCAGCCACGUCAUGGGCCGCAGGCAGGCAAGUCUGGGGACCCCCAUUCCCAGAACGCCGAUAGUAUCCCCCAGGCCCAAGGCGCGCUUAGGCUUGGCUUCGAGGCGAAGCCAAAGGGUCAAGAUCGUAGUGCCGCGGGUCCCAAAAGCCUACGGCCUCGGUUGCCGCGUGGCGGUUGAUUGGACGUGGGCAUCUCCGCUUCCCCAUGCUUCCUUGGCAACUACCCGACUUGACAAGUCCCUGCGACAUGCAAGGAAAACCAUCAUUACCUGUGAUCGUGGGGGUGUUGGUUGGCCUUCCUCUGAUAUAAAUGGGGAGGGGGGCAGAGCCCCCAUCGUCCUUCUCUUCCAUUCUGCCUACUUCUUCCUCCUCUGCUCCUCUGCUAGCAGCCACUUCAAUGGCGUCGAUCCGCAGGUUUUCAGCUGAGGAAAGGGGGGUGGUUCCCCUUGACGUGUCGGCGCUGCUUCCACCGAAGAAGAGAUCGGUCCACCGCCGCGACGCCACGGAGAUGUAGGUGGUGACGAGACCUUGGUGCGAGCUGCCUCCUCCUGGGUAUCCAUUGCCCUUGUACGCCCAAGCCGGGGGCUCGGGAGGAAGGAACGACAAGCAUCAGCGUGCGGGCCGCAGCCAAGGUCAACGCGCCGCGACGUCAAGUGCCGUCGCUCCUGGAGUUCAUGCCUCGGACUCUUCACGCGAGUUCGUGCUGUGGGCGGCGAUGCCCCCAAGCUCCUGGAUCCGUUUCCCACGCUUCUUCUCCGACGUGCUGCCACCGAGGGACCUCUCGAGCUCUGGUUGCAGCAUGCCGACUGUGACACCCCGGCGACCGGAGCUGAGGUUGAAGCAGUCUCCAUCGGCAAGAUCUUCAUGACCUAUGGCUAGGGCAAGGUCGCGCGGGUUUGCCGUGCGGAGGGCGCCCUCACGAUCCACCUCGAGUACAAUGGCGCCUCCAUGAUGUUCUUCAAGGUCUUCGACACGGAGGGUCGCCGCUUGGAGUGUUGCCCCGAAGGGGAGCGCCGGGGUGAGGCCGCCCCCUCGGGGCUGCUCCAGCAGCAGCGACUCUUGGGAGUCCAGCGGCUCUCGUGAGCUCUACGAGACUCCGAAGAUGAGCGACGACAGCUACGUGCCCCCGAGCUCCCGCCGUGCUCGGAGCAGGGCCGCCACGUCCGGCUGCCGUCGUUGCUGAUCUGGAGGAGGUUGGCACCGGCCUCCCGUGGCCCACUGUUGAUGAUGGCAUCGGCCACGGGUGUGUGUACAUAGGAUUCUCCUAAGUUCUUGUCUUUUGUUCCCUGCGAGGAAUCAAGAAGUACCCCGUGGGGGUGUGUAAAGAAACCACAAUGCCUUUUGUUGCCAUUAUCUUGAUUAUGGAAGCCUUGUUAGCGCUAGUCCUGUUUAGGCUCAGUCUUCUCUUUCCAACCUCGCAGCAGCUUGUUGCUCUACGCUGAUAGGUCCCAGUCCCCAGGCAGGCUUCAGUCGUCGCUGGUAUGCCAGGUCGCGUGCCGUGGUCACGGCCAGGAGGUGAGCGGCCCGAGGUCCAGUAAGAGCCCUUGAGGCGCGAUGCUCAGGAGGUCCCCUUUAGCGCUCAAGCAGUCGUGGUAAGAUAGGAAAGGGAGGCGACAUUGCCACAACAGGGUUGCGGCGAGCGUGUCUGAUUAGGUUCCAACGACUGGUUGAUCCGAGCUCGUGACUUAUGUUAGCGGUCUGGGGUCGAUUCUUCACAAUGCGCCAGACUUGUGCGCGAACAUCCGCAGCGUAGCUAGGUCAGGCCCAUACGAGUCCUCCCCCUUUCAAUGCUCUCCUUCGUGCUCUACGUCCUCAGGUCCCGGCCCUCGAGCGAGCUCAGCUGCCGCUGGUAUGCCAGGGCAUGUGCCAUGGUAAAGGCCAGGGGGUGAGGGCUGGAGAGCCAGUAAGAGCCCCUGAGGCGCGAUGCUCAGGAGCCCCCCUUUUAACGUGCAAGCGGAUUGCUUGGAAGAGGUGGGAGCUCACGGUGCCUCCUAGUGUUAUCCUCACGAGGUUCCUGCGAGCCAGCACAAGGAAGAACACGAUCUGCCAUUAUGGUUGCCAGCCUGCCACUAGUUGCUUCAUGAGGAGGUGAAGGCACUGAGGGCCUGGUGAGGUGACGUGCGCGGGGCGUGCCGCGAGCCAGAGCUCGACCGCUCAGGUUUUUCGACAUGGCAGGGACGGACCCAUGCACCAGCGCCGUGCCGACAUGAGGAGGCCCCGUGGGAGGUGACGAUUGAGCAAGUAGCAAUCACAGGUAGAUCAAUCAUAAGAGCAGCAGGCUUAAGUAAUGCAUGGGGGAUACAUGCCACCGGGUCAGGCCCGAGCAGCUUGGGAAUGAUGCAGCCCGAGGGGCGCUACCAACAAGGUAAGCUAAAGACGUAAAUGAAAGGGGUACAUGCCACAGGGACGGACCCACGCGGCCUGGGAAUUACGCAGCCCGAGGGGUGCUCCUAGUUGAAUGAACUUGAAAAGAUGUCACCAGGUUAUGUUGAAGAAGGAGAGUUGAGGCAGCUGAAGGCACACGGCGAAAGGGUUGCUCCUCACGAGCCACCGGGGCCCUGAGCCUCAGGAGGCUCUGGGGACUCACGUGGUUCCUUGAGGACCGUCUCCAUCUCCAUCCGGAUGGCGUGGCGCCUGGCCUCCUGAGACGCCAGGAGGCGCCGCAGGUUGCCUUGGUAGGCGGCCGAUACGCUCGAUAGGCCAAAGGGCAUGCGAACGUAGCUAUGCGGUGGGCCCUCACAGCGUCCCACAUGCGAAGGCCAAAAAAGCUCCUGAGAAGCGACCCUAUUGAGCCCUGGAACGUUAACGCAGACCCGUAGCCCGACAUCCUCGCAUGGAUGGAAAGCUGCGCCUUAUGAGCGGCGGUCACCACGCAUGGCCCUUGGGUCUUGCAGCUCCUGGGUGAUCUUGGUGAUGAACUCCUGAAUGGUGGACGGUCCUUGUUCUAUGUCCUCCUGAGGGAAACAUGUCGUGAAGCAUGCCUCCAAGUGGUGCCCGAGCGCCUCCCUCGUGAUGUGGGCAAGGUCUGAGGCCUUCGAGAAGAAAGCCCCCGAGCCCUGCCCGAGAAGGGCGCCGGGCGCACCUUCCUAUGCGAUGGAGGGAGGCGCCCCUGGAACGGGCGUUGAUCCUGGCGAGGCUCCGGCUGCAACGCCACCCUCCUAAGGUCCCGCACGGCGCAACUGCUUCUUCUUCUUGGGGGUGGCCUCAUGAGGGCCCUCGCUCCUGCUGUCGGGGUCGUCGAUUGCUGCAGCUUGGAAGGCACGCUCGACGGAGCACACCGCAUCUCUUUCUUCACAUGGGACCGUGAUGAUCCCGCUGCUUCCUGGCAUCUUGAGGACAGUGUAGCCGUGACGAGUCAUCGCCAUGAACUUGGCCAGGGCUGGGUACUCUAGGAUGGCAUUGUACGGCAGGCAGAUGUGCGCGACGUCGAAGUCGAUGAGCUCGGUGCGGUAGUUGUUGCGCAUGCCGAAGGUGACAGGGAGGCGGACCUGCCCUAUCGGUGUGGUGGAACCGUCGGUCACUCCUGAGAAAGGCUUGGUAGGCUGGAGCUAGUCAUAAGGCACUUGGAGGCUGUCGAACGUGUCGACGGAUAGGACACUGAGCCCUGCGCCGCCAUCGAUGAGGGUCUUGGUAACUUGCACGUUGCUGAUGAGUGGGGAGCAAAGGAUUGGGAGGACGCCAGUGGUAGUCGCCCACUUGAGCUAAUCUGCCGAGCUGAACAUGAUGAGGCACUGGGACCACCUGAGCGGGCGUGUGGCUUCGAGCUUGGGGAGGACUACAUUCACUUCGCGAGCAAACUGCUUAAAGAUACACUGCGAGGCUAGGGCCUGGGCUCCGCCCAAGAUGCAAGCGAUGGCACGCGGUUCCUGGAAGCCCCCAGCCCCCUCGUCCUGAUGGUGUUCGUCAUUCCUUCUUGGUGGCGGCGGCAGCGGGAGGGAGUCCAGCGUUGCCUUGAGGGCGAUCCUCACGAGGCUGAUCUCUCCAGGCGCCCUCGCGAGGCUGAUCCUGCCAGCAAUCCUCACAAGGCCGGUCUCACCACUCCUGAUGCGGGCCACGAUCGUCCCAGCGUCCGCCACCACGUCCUCCUCAGUCGUAGCCCCGGUCGCCGCGCUCGGGGCGUCGGCCAAAACGUCCUUCGUGAAUGGCUCGGAGCUCUUGACAACUCGUGCGCCAUGAGGAGCGCGGACCGUGCGUCCAUGGGAGGGUGACGUGCAUGGGAAGAAGAGACGGCCGGGGUCAGCGAUGGAGUGGCGGUGCGAUCGUCCCGACGCACCGAUGGGUGCAGCGAGGAUGCUUGCUGCUAGUUCCUCGUCGGGCCAGUGGCGGUGUUGGCGGCAGGCGACGGGGAGCGGUGAGGCGGCCUGCCGACGGGAGCCGUCUGAGCGACGUGGGCCGCGAGGGCAGCCUGACGCUCAGCACGAGCGCGGCGCGCGUCUGCCAUGGAGACGACGGAGCAACGCAGCGCGGAGCGAUGGACAGAGGCUUCGGCGCACCCCUACCUGGCGCGCCAAAUGUCGGAUCUGGGGUUCCGGCAGACCCUUGAGGUUCAAACACUGGGGUGCACGCGAAGGUUUUCUCCCUAUCGAUCCACGCCCUAGCUCUCUAAGAUCUCGCAGACGAGCACGACGAACUCUCAACACUGAAAGACACAAGAUUUAUACUGGUCCGGGCCACCAUUGUGGUGUAAUACCCUACUCCAGUGUGGUGGUGGUGGAUUGCCUCUUGGGCUAAUGAUGAACAGUGCAAGAGGAAUAACAGCCUCCUGAGGUCGAGGUGUUCUUGCGUUUGGUGAGCUUGUGUGUGUGAGGAUCGAAAUCAGCUGCUGACUUGUGAUGGUGUUGAUCCGAUGCCCCUCAUGGUGGUGACUAGUUCUACUUAUAUAGGCCCUGGUCCUCUCCCCAAAUAUUGAGCGGGAAGGGAGCCAACAAUGACCAAUUCGAAAGGGGACAGCUAGUGCAAGCUAUCCUGACAAAAGGUGGUCUUCGCCUGCAAAAGGCUCUGGUGAUGACGCCGUCUUGGGCUCCAUGGUGACCUCCGUCUUGCCGUCCUUCUGGUCCUGGUCUCGUUGCACCAAUAUGGAAACCUUUGCUUGAUGCCUCGGUACUCUGCGCCUGCACUUGCCCCCUUAGCACCAAAGACGAAACAAGGACGCUGCGCGCGCUGGCGCCCGCCUGGCGCUCGCCUGGUCUCGAUCGUCAUGGCUCACGUCACGAGGAGCCUCAUGAGGUUUGCCUUUCCUUGAUCUCUUCUCCCCUUGUGAGCCUGCCUGGCGAGGCCGCUCUUGAGGAGGUCUUGCAUCGUCCGCCCCGCGAGGCUUGGCCCCUCGCGAGGGUCUUGAAUGUCUUGUCGAUGAAGAUGGGCCGUACGAACCUGCCAGCCCAGCCACGCCAUCGGCCGUAGGAAGGCAAGUCUGGGGACCCCCGUUAUGAGAACAUGGACAACAUUAUCCAGAACAAGUACCUUAGGGGACAGUCGCUUGCCGUCUGUCAACGGUCGGGCGGCUCCUAGUUCUGGCAAGCGAUCAUACAGCUACUACGGGUUCUCUGCAUUGGGCCUCCAUCACGGUGGGGUCCGCUGCCUCCACCCUGUUUUGGUUCGAUAGAUGGGAUGGUGACCAUCUGUUCGCGGAUCGUUUCCCAGACUUGUUCUCCAUUGUUCAUCACGAGCUUCUACAGCCUGCUGGAGACAUUGCAUCAUGCGAUUGCUAAGAUCCAGGCACGUUUCUUCUAGGUAGGCGAGGGAUUAAGGAUGGAAAUGAGUAGGGUAUGGGCAGGGUAGAGCAAUACCAUACUCAUACCUGUAUAGUUAAUGGGUAUAAAAUUCUACCCAUAUCCAUACCCAUGGAUAUGAAACUUUACCCAUACCCAUACCCAUACCCGACGGGUACCCAACGGGUAGAACAAAUAGUACACAACUUGCUCACAAUUUUAUGCUCAUUGGUAGCACAUUUGACAAAAAAAUAUCAAUUAUCUCGGCUCAAUAACAGGUGGAUGAGUAAAUGACCAAUAUCAAAAUUUAGAAAUCAUAAUAUACUCUUAAGUCCAUAGAAGUAGACGAGUCAGAUGCCAUACUCGUGUGAUUGCUUGGUCCUCGGAUAAUCAACUGUAUGCCCCGGAUUUAUUCUAACAAGUGAUAUUAGAGCUAGGUUACGAGGUUGAUCUAAGGCGAACAUAUCGUGGAAGAACUAAUUGUCGGUGAGAUCGGAAGAAACGGUGCGGUGUCACGAUCGCGUGGAACAACCCGAGUGUAUACGUACUCGGAGUCGGCGAGGUUGGGACGUGGCCUACGGCAGUGUGGCAAGGAAGCUGGGCCAAGCGGUCCAGCAGGCACACGAGCAGGCAGCCCAAGCGACGAAAGGACGCAUGCAAGGACGGCUGAGCGUCAACUCAAUCGAUUGCGGCGUGCAGAUUUUAGCGAUACGUGGUGCAAUCGGAAACAACAAGGAAACCGUACCUUGGAUCGUUGAAAGUCUUAGUGCUCUCAACCUGUUCGAUGAAAUAACAACGAUGUUGUGUUUUUCAGGCCAGUCACCAAAAGGGAACAUCGACAGGCACGUACCUCGCCAGACGCGUCUCUCUCCACCUGCAGGAUGAUUUCCAUGGCACGGCCCUCCUCAGGUCUGAGCACUACUAAGCAAUAAGCAUACCUUUGUACAAUCCUCUUUAUGUCAGUUUUGUAAACACCUUGGGCAAACUGUAUAUCUAUUGCUGAGGAUCUUAGGACUCCCAUUAGUUGGAACUUAGAAAUGAUGCUCUAAUACUACACUUGACACACAAAUAAGGAGCUGGCAUAUUAAAAUGGUUACUCUUUGGAACUUUGGUCAGUAUUUAGCAGUGUUCAAUAUUGAAGAGAUUACUAUUUAGCUUUAGAGUAUGAGGGCAUGUGUUGUUCAUUAUCUCUUUUACCCCCUGUCGGCGGUACUAAGUGGCUUAGCACUGAUGCAAGACGGACAUCAGUCGACUUAGACUUUGACCGCAAGUCACUUGAAUGGUGUCAUUAAAACAACCUGAGCAAGAUUGGAGCUGAUGGGUAUUUGAGAUUGUUGCUUUUUGAUGGAACUGCAGCCAAAAGAAUCUCUCGCCUUGUCAAGCAAAAGAUUAAUGAUCUUGUGCAAGAUCUAAAUGUUACCAGUGAUGAUGGCUCUACAGAAACGUACAACUGUGAGCAGUCAGGUUCUUCAUUUACGAAAUGUUCAGCCAAUUCGACCAUGUCAAAUGCAGUUUUGUGUGGAAGAGAGCUGUUAUAUUUGUAACUGAUGUGUAUGAUGGCACGUCUUCUGAAUGCAAGCUUCCUCUCGAUAGGAGAUCCUCCAGUUUCAGUGUGAUUUGAGUUAUAGCAUUUCUUAAUAAUUGCUUGAAUUUGACCUUCCAUUUGAUUUUGAAAACUUAAGCCUUCUCAUGUAGGUGUUGAAGUCUGACGGAUUGGAGAAUUAGAUGGUAGUCGCUGGAGAGGCAAGGAACUCCCAUGCUUGCAGCGAUGCACUUGGUGGGCAUUCCUUGCAUUCUCUCGUAAAAUCACACGGGUUCAUGUAUUUAAUUAUAGCAAAGUUACCAUGUCUUUAUCAUGCCAGUAUGCCAAUGUGCCCAGAAAUUAGAUAACAGAGGGAAGUUAGCAACUCCCAGCUCUGAAAGCAUACCAAAUAUUUCAGUUUUUAGGCCACUGCUCAAUUUUGAAGAGCUACUCCAUUGAACUAGAUAUGUGAGCUUUUUGUAAAUUAUAGGAUAUCAUAGUCUGCUAAGUGGAAAAAGAACUCUUUGAUGUUGGGCAUAUCAUGUAGUAUUUAAAUCAUUAUUUUUUACACAUGUGAUGCAAAUCUUAUUCGUUUAGAAAAAUGGUGCAUCUACAGGAUUGAUACGAACUCAGAAUACAAAUUUUGGGACAACUAUUAACAUUGAAAGAGAAUGAAUGUGAAGACAAUAUGUGUGCUGGUGUCCUGGGAUUCAGCAGUUGUAUCAGGAAAACCAAAGUAAAACAGGUACUCAGAUUUUUCUUAUUCUACAUUUUCCAGAUAUAGCAAAGGUUGUACCACAGAAAGUAUCAUUAAAGGUUGUAUAAUAUGCAAUGACGAUAUGCUCCAUUAUAUCCAGGUAAUUAAAGGUUGUAUAGCAAAAGCAUGUUUAAAAAUUUAAAUUACCAUGGCACAUUUAAUUCUUUUGGAGUACUAAACAAUCAUGCGGCUCUCUACAGAUUUCUAAAUUCAUGGUAGGACCACAGGAGAAUACUACUUUUUUGUGGGGGGAGAUAAUUGCUGAACAGAUAGCGUCGAUGCCUUGCAAAGUUUCGCAGAGAACAAGCUAUAUGUGGAUUUCUUCCAAUUGCAGCAAGCUUCGAGCAAGCAAAACUAUACUCUAUAAAUAAUUUUCUUGAACCAGUGUUCUUUAUUUUCUUUGUAUUUUCACCUUUCCUUGUAGUGGAUUUCAAUGUACUGAACACUCUCCUUAAUCAAUGGAAGCAACACCUGAUUGCCUUCAUAUAAAAAAACACAAUCUGAACACAUACAAGGCGAUGUAUAGCAGGAACAGAAAAAAAAUACUGUGCGAAGGUGAGUGCAAGUGCAUGAUUUUCUAGAGUUAUUUUCUUGGCAGAAGUUACUAUAUUCUCAAUAUACAUCAUAAAUAAUUAGGGAAUUCAAAAAAGGUCCGAUUUUUUUAAAAAUGAUAAUUUUGAAAUAAAAAGUUUAAUAAAUCAUAAAAUGUUUGUUGAGUCAAAAAUUGUUCGUGAUUUUGUAAAACAAUGUAUGCUUAUUCAAAAAAUGUUCCAAAUUUUGAAAACCAAUGUUCAGGAAAUCAAGCAAUGUUCAUGAUUUCAAUAAAAAGUUUGUGCAUUAAAAAAUUGUAAUGAAAUUGAACAGAAUUUCGCCAAUUCAAAAAAUCUUUAUGAAUGGAAAAAUAUCCUUAAAAUUCAAAAACUGUCCGUGACUUACAAAAUAGUUUAUUCAUUCAUUAAACAUUCGUUGAUUCAAAAAUGAUUAUGCAUUUCGGAAAAUGUUCAUGGAUUUCAAAAUUUGUUCCACCAAUUUCCUAAAUAAUGUUCGUCGAUUCUAGAAAUGUUCAUCGAUUCAAGAAAAUUGUUUAAAAAACUGUUGACACUUUAAAAAAUGUUUUAAAAUAUUAUACAAAUGUUCAUGAAUCAAAUAAUGUUCUUGAUUUUAGAAAAUGUUCAGAAAUUUGUAAAAGUGUCCACAAAUUUGAGAAAUGUUUACGAUUUCCAAUUUGUGCACGAGUUUAAAAAAAUGGCAUGAUUUCAUGAAAUUGAGAGUGAUAGUGUAUCUUGCUGAUGCAACAAAAUGUGGUCAUGACCGUUGAAGAUUAUAUUUUUUUUCUCCCGUUGCAACGCACGGGCCCUUUUGCUAGUAUACUCUUAAGUCAAUAGAAAUAGACGAGUCAGAUGUCGUGCUCGUGUGAUUGCUUGGUCCUCGGAUAAUCAACCGUAUGCCCCAGAUUUAUUCUAACAAGUGAUAUUAGAGCUAGGUUACGAGGUUGAUCUAAGGCGAAGAUAUCGUGGAAGAACUAAUUGUCGGCGAGAUCGAAAGAAACGAUGCGGUGUCACGAUCGCGUGGAACAACCCGAGUGUAUACGUACUCGGAGUCGGUGAGGUUGGGACGUGGCCUACGACAGUGCGGCAAGGCAGCUGGGCCAAGCGGUCCAUCAGGCACGCGAGCAGGCAGCCCAAGCGACGGAAGGACGCAUGCAAGGACGGCUGAGCGUCAACUCGAUCGGUUGCGGCGUGCAGAUUUUAGCGAUAUGUGGUGCAAUCAGAAACAACAAGGAAACGUAUGUAUAUACGUGAUCCUUAUCUCUCCGCUCUCUGGUCAGCAGCGACCACCCAAGGUCGCCCCGAUCCAUGGCCCUCUCCUUCCGCCCAGCUUGGGUCCGUCGCCGGUCGUCCAUGGGGCGAGCGCUGCGCCUCCUCUUGAAGCUCCUAUUUUUGUGCUGCCCCGCCUGCACUGCCCACCAGCGCCUUCCGAGAACUCAUGGUUGCCUUCUGCCAAGCUGCCGGAUUGAUGGAUGACCGCCGCCAUGACCGACCUCAACCUUCCGCACGCCAUGGGCAGCGGCCAUGGAGGCCGCACCUCCGGCCUCUCGCUUCGCUAGCCAGGACCUCCGCCAACAUCUCAUUCAUCUAUAUCAAGGACCGAUCUACGUCGCCCGAGGUUGACAGCAGUUCGGCCAGGGGCAUCACGACCACAUCCUGAUAUCCGCUGCCUUGGGCACGGCCACCACUGCUUGCCUUCCUUGGAGCAAAGAAUUAUGAGCUCUCCCGUACAUGGCUGAAGCGCCUACAGGUGUGCGUGUCUGUGUUUUAACUUUUGCUCACUCUUUUGUUUUUGAACAAGUGAAUUUCUCUUGCUGGAGCGUUUCAUUGAAAAGGAAUUUGGUUCUGAAGCUACUCUUGAAGCCAACGAUCUGAAAAACAUAGGGGAACUAUUUUGCUCUAUGUUGUGUUGUGGUUCCUGCCCAAGAGGUGACAACAGUUCAGACUUCAAACUUUUUUUUGAAGGGCAGACUUCAAACUUAGUAAGCCAUAUGCUUAUAUCUCAGAAAUAAAUUAAAUAGCACAGGAAAGGAGCAGCAACCUUAACUGAACAUAGAGUUGUGUUACAAGUUCCACGUGCACUAGCUUUUAGUGCAGGUGACGUCCCUAGCAUCUAUCGUACCUUGGAUCGUUGAAAGUCUUAGUGCUCUCAACCUAUUCGAUGAAAUAACAACAAUGUUGUGUUUUUCAGGUCAGUCACCAAAAGGGGACAUCGACAGGCACGUACCUCGCCAGACGCGUCUCUCUCCACCUGCAGGAUGAUUUCCAUGGCACGGCCCUCCUCAGGUCUAAGCACUACUAAGAAAUAAGCAUACCUUUGCACAAUCCUCUUUAUGUCAGUUUUGUAAACACCUUGGGCAAACUGUAUAUCUAUCACCGAGGAUCUCAGGACUCCCAUUAGUUGGAACUUAGAAAUGAUGCUCUAAUACUACACUUGACACACAAAUAAGGAGCUGGCAUAUUAAAAUGGUUACUCUUUGGAACUUUGGUCAGUAUUGAGCAGUGUUCAAUAUUGAAGAGAUUACUAUUUAGCUUUAGAGUAUGUGGGCAUGUGUUGUUCAUUAUCUCUUUUACCCCCUGUCGGCGGUACUAAGUGGCUUAGCACUGAUGCAAGACGAACAUCAGUCGACUUAGACUUUGACCGCAAGUCACUUGAAUGGUGUCAUUAAAACAACCUGAGAAAGAUUGGAGCUGAUGGGUAUUUGAGAUUGUUGCUUUUUAAUGGAACUGCAGCCAAAAGAAUCUCUCGCCUUGUCAAGCAAAAGAUUAAUGAUCUUGUGCAAGAUCUAAAUGUUACCAGUUAUGAUGGCUCUACAGAAACGUACAACUGUGAGAAGUCGGGUUCUUCAUUUACGAAAUGUUCAGCCAAUUCGACCAUGUCAAAUGCAGUUUUGUGUGGAAGAGAGCUGGUAUAUUUGUAACUGAUGUGUAUGAUGGCACGUCUUCUGAAUGCAAGCUUCCUCUCGAUAGGAGAUCCUCCAGUUUCAGUGUGAUUUGAGUUAUAGCAUUGCUUAAUAAUUGCUUGAAUUUGACCUUCCAUUUGAUUUUGAAAACUUAAGCCUUCUCAUGUAGGUGUUGAAGUUUGACGGAUUGGAGAAUCAGAUGGUAGUCGCUAGAGAGGCAAGGAACUCCCAUGCUUGCAGCGAUGCACUUGGUGGGCAUUCCUUGCAUUUUCCCGUAAAAUCACACGGGUUCAUGUAUUUAAUUAUAUCAAAGUUACCAUGUCUUUAUCAUGCCAGUAUGCCAAUGUACCCAGAAAUUAGAUAAUAGAGGGAAGUUAGCAACUCCCAGCUCUGAAAGCAUACCAAAUAUUUUAGUUUUUAGGCCACUGCUCAAUUUUGAAGAGCUACUCCAUUGAACUAGAUAUGUGAGCUUUUUGUAAAUUAUAGGAUAUCAUAGUCUGCUAAGUGGAAAAAGAACUCUUUGAUGUUGGGCAUAUCCUGUAGUAUUUAAAUCAUUAUUUUUUACACAUGUGAUGCAAAUCUUAUUCGUUUAGAAAAAUGGUGUAUCUACAGGAUUGAUACGAACUCAGAAUACAAAUUUUGGGACAACUAUUAACAUUGAAAGAGAAUGAAUGUGAAGACAAUAUGUGUGCUGGUGUCCUGGGAUUCAGCAGUUGUAUCAGGAAAACCAAAAUAAAACAGGUACUCAGAUUUUUCUUAUUCUACAUUUUCCAGAUAUAGCAAAGGUUGUACCACAGAAAGUAUCAUUAAAGGUUGUAUAAUAUGCAAUGACGAUAUGCUCCAUUAUAUCCAGGUAAUUAAAGGUUGUAUAGCAAAAGCAUGUUUAAAAAUUUAAAUUACCAUGGCACAUUUAAUUCUUUUGGAGUACUAAACAAUCAUGCGGCUCUCUACAGAUUUCUAAAUUCAUGGUAGGACCACAGGAGAAUACUACUUUUUGGGGGGGGGAGAUAAUUGUUGAAUGGAUAGCGUCGAUGCCUUGCAAAGUUUCGCAGAGAACAAGCUAUAUGUGGAUUUCUUCCAAUUGCAGCAAGCUUCGAGCAAGCAAAACUAUACUCUAUAAAUAAUUUUCUUGAACCAGAGUUCUUUAUUUUCUUUGUAUUUUCACCUUUCCUUGUAGUGGAUUUCAAUGUACUGAACACUCUCCUUAAUCAAUGGAAGCAACACCUGAUUGCCUUCAUAUAAAAAAACACAAUCUGAACACAUACAAGGCAAUGCAUAGCAGGAACAGAAAAAAAAAUACUGUGCGAAGGUGAGUGCAAGUGCAUGAUUUUCUAGAGUUAUUUUCUUGGCAGAAGUUACUAUAUUCUCAAUAUACAUCAUAAAUAAUUAGGGAAUUCAAAAAGGUCCGAAUUUUUUUAAAUGAUAAUUUUGAAAUAAAAAGUUUAAUAAAUCAUAAAAUGUUUGUUGAGUCAAAAAUUGUUCGUGAUUUUGUAAAACAAUGUAUGCUUAUUCAAAAAAUGUUCCAAAUUUUGAAAACCAAUGUUCAGGAAAUCAAGCAAUGUUCAUGAUUUUAAUAAAAAGUUUGUGCAUUAAAAAAUUGUAAUGAAAUUGAACAAAAUUUCGCCAAUUCAAAAAAUCUUUAUGAAUGGAAAAAUAUCCUUAAAAUUCAAAAACUGUCCGUGACUUACAAAAUAGUUUAUUCAUUCAUUAAACAUUCGUUGAUUCAAAAAUGAUUAUGCAUUUCGGAAAAUGUUCAUGGAUUUCAAAAAUUGUUCCACCAAUUUCCUAAAUAAUGUUCGUCGAUUCUAGAAAUGUUCAUCAAUUCAAGAAAAUUGUUUAAAAAACUGUUGACACUUUAAAAAAUGUUUUAAAAUAUUAUACAAAUGUUCAUGAAUCAAAUAAUGUUCUUGAUUUUAGAAAAUGUUCGGAAAUUUGUAAAAGUGUCCACAAAUUUGAGAAAUGUUUACGAUUUCCAAUAUGUGCAUGAGUUUAAAAAAAUGGCAUGAUUUCAUGAAAUUGAGAGUGAUAGUGUAUCUUGCUGAUGCAACAAAAUGUGGUCAUGACCGUUGAAGAUUAUAUUUUUUUUCUCCCGUUGCAAUGCACGGGCCCUUUUGCUAGUAUACUCUUAAGUCAAUAGAAAUAGACGAGUCAGAUGUCAUGCUCGUGUGAUUGCUUGGUCCUUGGAUAAUCAACCGUAUGCCCCGGAUUUAUUCUAACAAGUGAUAUUAGAGCUAGGUUACGAGGUUGAUCUAAGGCGAAGAUAUCAUGGAAGAACUAAUUUUCGGCGAGAUCGGAAGAAAUGGUGCGGUGUCACGAUUGCGUGGAACAACCCGAGUGUAUACGUACUCGGAGUCGGCGAGGUUGGGACGUGGCCUACGACAGUGCGGCAAGGCAGCUGGGCCAAGCGGUCCAGCAGGCACGCGAGCAGGCAGCCCAAGCGACGGAAGGACGCAUGCAAGGACGGCUGAGCGUCAACUCGAUCGGUUGCGGCGUGCAGAUUUUAGCGAUACGUGGUGCAAUCGGAAACAACAAGGAAAUGUACGUAUAUACGUGAUCCUUAUCUCUCCACUCUCUGGUCAGCAGCGACCACCCAAGGUCGCCCCGAUCCAUGGCCCUCUCCUUCCGCCCAGCUUGGGUCCGUCGCCGGUCGUCCAUGGGGCGAGCGUUGCACCUGCUCUUGAAGCUCCUAUUUUUGUGCUGCCCCGUCUGCACUGCCCACCAGCGCCUUCCAAGUGUUAAAUUGUGAUCCAAAUUCUAGUACCGUAUUGGACUAGACGUAGUACAUACGGUGUGGGCCUUUUGCGUUGGUACCGACGCAUACGAGUACAACUCGUUUACUUGUCCUACAAGGACUCCUAUGUGUUGCUCCUCAUAUAUACCCCAUGUAGUCGCACCUCAGACGGUCUGUCGUCUCGUGCUUGUAAUACUCCUCCUCAUAGUGAUUGCGCCUUCGUGCGUCCGUGGUUUUCUCCUGCAAGGGUUUCCACGUAAAAAUCCGUGUCUCUCUGUCUUGUUUAUUCUCGUUAUUAUCUAACAAGUGGUAUACAGAACCAAGUUGAUCUGAAUCAGAUACGAGAUUUUUGAGACGAGAGAUUAGGGUUUCGGCUGUGCGUGCCGCUGCCAUCCUGCAAACUUCCGAUCGGAGACUGCUUCCUGUACGAGCCGCUGCAGCCGCAAGUCGCCGAGACGGACAGGGUUUUGCUACUGAUCCGAUUACUAAUCAAGCAGUCCACCGAGGGUUCCGCUACCGGCCGCUGUCAAAACCAAGUCACCGGGAGUUUCCGCUGCGGUCGAAUCCGUUCCUGCAGCUGUUUUAGAUUGGCACGUGUGGCUAUAGGCGUUCCGCCGAGUUACUGCCGCUGGCCGCUUCAAGUCCCAAGGGAAUCAACCACUACAAUACCGUGGAGAUAUCCAUCCACUCACGUGAAGGCUAGUACUAUUGAGUACUAGUUGAUCAGAUUUAUUUUCUCAUCUAAUUGUUACAUCCACACAAAGAGCUACCAGGUGCUAUCUAUUUUUUUUGUUCUUUGCUCCGCAAAUUAAUUCUAUCAAGGAUUUUUCUACGGGCUUGUACUACUUUGUGUACACAGAUUUUAUCGACUCAUGGCAUCCAUGAAGUACGACCUUCCGCUGCUGGAUCAUGACACAAGGUUUACCCUAUGGCAAGUCAAGAUGCGGGCGUUGUUGGCACAGGCCGACUAUGAUGUAGCACUGGAUAGUUUUGGGAAGAACCGAAUUGAGGACUGGACUGCUGAGGAAAAAAGAAUUGAUUGUAAGGCUUUGUCACAAAUUCAACUCCAAUUGCAUAAUAAUAUUUUGCAGGAAGUUUUGAGCGAGAAAACUGCCGCCGCUCUAUGGUUAAAGCUGGAAGGGAUUUGCAUGACUAAAGAUCUCACCAGCAAGAUGCAUCUGAAGCAAAAAUUAUUCCUACACAGGUUACCCGAGGGAGGUAAUGUUUUGAAUCAUAUUUCAGAAUUUAAGGAUAUUAUAUCCGAUCUAGCUGCAAUGGAGGUUAAGUAUGAAGAGGAAGAUACUGCUUUAAUAUUACUUUGUUCACUGCCAAGUUCUUAUACCAAUUUUAGAGACACCAUAUUAUACAGUCGUGAUACUCUCACACUUAAUGAAGUUUAUGAAGCUUUGAACUCUAAGGAGAAGAUGAAAUUAAUGGUGCCUCAUGAUGGUUCGAGUUCAUCCCAAGCCGAGGGAUUAUCUGUUCGUGGCAGGACAAAGGAGAAGAACUCCAAUAAUGGAAACAGAGGCAAAAGUAAAAACGGCUACAGGGGCCGGUCGCAAUCCAGAGACAAGAAAUAUUGCAGGUAUUGCAACGGGCAUGACAUCUCAGAGUGUUUCAAGUUGCAAAAUAAAGAAAAGAGGAAAGGUAACAAACAAGGUGAAAGUUCUACUAACAUUGCUCGUGAUGAUAGUUCCGAUGAUGCUCUUGUCGUUAUUGCUGGAUGUGCCGAGACCAAUGAUGAGUGGGUACUUGAUACUACAUGUACUUUUCAUAUGUGUCCACAUAGAGAUUGGUUUAAUACUUUUGAUUCCACUACUUCUGCUGGUUCCGUUUUGGGUUUUGAUAAUUCACCAUGCAAGAUGUUUGAUGGCAUAAUCAGAACUUUGACAGAUGUUCGGUAUAUUCCGAAGAUGAAGAGAAAUCUUAUUUCUAUGAGUGCCCUUGAUGCAAAGGGAUACAAGUAUUCAGGUGGAGAUAGUGUUCUGAAAGUCACCAAAGGUUCCCUUGUUGUGAUGAAAGGUGACUUAAGUUCGACCAAUGGUCUUUAUUACCUUCGAGGUUCUACCGUUUCAGGUAACGCUACUCCAGCUAUUUCAAAGAAUUCUGAUUGUGAUGCUGCUAACCUUUGGCAUAUGCGUCUUGGACAUAUGAGUGAACUUGGUUUAGCAGAGUUAAAUAAGAGAGGUCUUCUUGAUGGAUAUGAACCUGGUAAAUUGAAAUUUUGUGAGCAUUGUAUCUUCGGCAAACACAAGAGGGUGAAGUUCAACACUUCGACUCAUACAACCGAAGGUAUUCUUGAUUAUGUGCAUUCUGAUUUAUGGGGACCAUCUCGCAAGAAGUCACUAGGUGGUGCAAGUUACAUGCUGACUAUUAUUGAUGAUUAUUCGAGAAAAGUUUGGCCUUAUUUCUUGAAGCAUAAAUAUGAAGCAUUCUCAGCUUUUAAGGAGUGGAAGAUUAUGAUUGAGAGACAAACUGAAAAGAAGAUAAAGAUACUUCGCACUGAUAAUGGUAUGGAAUUCUGUUCUAAGCAAUUUAAGAAUUAUUGCAAGUCUGAAGGCAUUGUCAGACAUUACACCAUUCCUUAUACUCCUCAACAAAAUGGUGUUGCUGAGCGUAUGAAAAGGACCAUUAUUUCCAGAUCCCGUUGCAUGUUGUCCAAUGCAGGUUUGCAUAGGCGUUUUUGGGCUGAGGCCGCUUCCACUGCUUGUUAUCUCAUUAACCGUUCACCAUCUAUUGCUCUUAAUAAGAAAACUCCAAUUGAGGUAUGGUCUGGUUCACCUACUGAUUAUUCACAGUUGAGAGUUUUUGGUUGCACUGCUUAUGCUCAUGUUGAUAAUGGAAAGUUGGAGCCUAGGGCUGUUAAGUGCAUCUUUCUUGGUUAUAAGUCUGGUGUUAAAGGUUUUAAAUUAUGGAAUCCUGAAACCCAGAAGGUUGUUAUUAGCAGAAAUGUUAUCUUUAAUGAAUCUGCUAUGUUACAUGAUGUUUCAUCUACUAAUGUUCCUGUUGAGAGUGAACAGCAGCCUCCUAUUCAGCAGCCUACUGUUCAGCUGGAGCAUGUUAUUGACUCAUGUGAUACAUCUAGUAAUGAAAUUGUUGAUGCACAUGAUGAACCCGUCGUUAAUGAUGAUAAUGUCACUCCCACUCCAAAUCAGCCUAUUGUUCCACCCAGUUGGAAUCUUGCUCGUGGCAGAGUUAGGCGGGGUACUAACAAACCUGACAGGUUAAUUGAAGAGUGCAAUAUUGUUUCUUUUGCUUUAUCUGUUGCAGAAGAAAUUGAAGGUAACGCUGAACCUUCUUCAUAUUCCGAGGCUAUUAUUUCUGGUGAUAGUAAUAAGUGGAUGACCGCUAUGCAUAAUGAGAUGGAAUCACUUGAAAAGAAUGGCACUUGGGAUUUAGUAAAAUUGCCUAGAGAGAAGAAACCUAUUCGUUGCAAGUGGGUUUUCAAGAGGAAAGAAGGUGUUUCUCCUAAUGAUGAGACAAGAUAUAAAGCAAGGUUAGUUGCUAAAGGUUACAGUCAGAUUCCAGGUAUUGACUAUAACGAAGUCUUUUCUCCUGUUGUGAAGCAUAGCUCUAUUUGCACUUUACUUAGUAUUGUUGCCAUGCAUGAUCUUGAGCUUGAACAAUUGGAUGUUAAAACUGCAUUCUUACAUGGAGAAUUAGAAGAGGAUAUUUAUAUGGAACAACCUGAAGGUUUUGUUAUUCCUAGAAAAGAAAAGCUUGUCUGCAAGUUAAGAAAAUCUCUUUAUGGAUUGAAGCAAUCCCCUAGACAGUGGUACAAGAGAUUUGACACCUUUAUGCUCUCUCAAGGUUUCAAAAGGUCUAAUUAUGAUAGUUGUGUUUAUUUGAAAACUGUCAAAGGUUCAACUAUUUAUUUGCUCCUUUAUGUUAAUGAUAUGCUAAUUGCUGCAAAGAGUAUGUCAGAUAUUCAUGAACUAAAGAAGCAAUUGAGUAAUGAAUUUGAGAUGAAGGAUUUGGGUGCAGCAAAGAAAAUACUUGGCAUGGAAAUAUCCAGAGAUAGACCAUCUGGAAAAGUAUAUCUAAGUCAGAAAGGAUAUAUUGAUAAAGUUCUUCGUUGUUUUAAUAUGCAUAAUUCCAAGCCAAUAAGUACUCCGUUAGCUGCACACUUCAAAUUAUCAUCAGCUUUAUGUCCUAAGUCAGAUACAGAUAUUGAGUACAUGUCUAGAGUUCCCUAUUCAAGUGCAGUUGGUUCACUCAUGUAUGCCAUGGUUUGUUCUCGUCCUAAUUUAUCAUAUGCAUUGAGUGUUGUUAGUAGAUACAUGGCUAAUCCUGGAAAAGGGCAUUGGAGAGCAGUUCAGUGGAUUUUCAGAUACCUGCGAGGUACUUCUAAUGCCUAUUUACAGUUUGGGAAAACUAGAGAUGGACUUGUUGGUUUUGUUGAUUCUGAUUUUGCUGGUGAUUUGGAUAAGAGAAGAUCACUCAUAGGCUAUGUUUUCACCAUUGGUGGUUGUGCUGUGAGUUGGAGAGCAACUUUGCAGUCUAUUGUGGCUUGUUCCACUACUGAUGCCGAGUAUAUGGCUAUUUCUGAGGCAUGCAAAGAAGCUAUCUGGUUGAGAGGUUUGUACACUAAGCUUUGUGGAGACUCAUCUUGCCCUACCGUAUUUAGUGACAGUCAAAGUGCUAUAUAUCUUACAAAGAAUCCAAUGUAUCAUGAGAGAACAAAGCACAUUGAUGUCAGAUAUCACUAUAUUCGAGAUGUUGUUGCUAAAGGUGAUUUGAAGGUAUGCAAGAUAAGUACUCAUGAUAAUCCUGCUGAUAUGAUGACAAAGCCAGUUCCAACCAAUAAGUUUGAGCUUUGCUCAGGCUUAGUUGGUAUUUCUCACUAGUCCUAUGGACUUUGACGCACAAGGUGUUUAAGCUGAUUUGGAUGGAGUUAUUCACUUUCUUCGACUACUGGAGGGAAUUUGGCUCAAGGUGGAGAUUGUUAAAUUGUGAUCCAAAUUCUAGUACCGUAUUGGACUAGACGUAGUACAUACAGUGUGGGCCUUUUGCGUUGGUCCCGACGCAUACGAGUACAACUCGUUUACUUGUCCUACAAGGACUCCUAUGUGUUGCCGCUCAUAUAUACCCCAUGUAGUCGCACCUCAGACGGUCUGUCGUCUCGUGCUUGUAAUACUCCUCCUCAUAGUGAUUGCGCCUUCGUGCGUCCGUGGUUUUCUCCCGCAAGGGUUUCCACGUAAAAAUCCGUGUCUCUCUGUCUCGUUUAUUCUCAUUAUUAUCUAACACCGAGAACUCAUGGUUGCCUUCUGCCAAGCUGCCGGAUUGAUGGAUGACCGCCGCCAUGACCGACCUCAACCUUCUGCACGCCAUGGGCAGCGGCCAUGGAGGCCGCACCUCCGGCCUCUCGCUUGACGCUAGCCAGGACCUCCGCCAACAUCUCAUUCAUCUAUAUCAAGGACCGAUCUACGUCACCCGAGGUUGACAGCAGUUCGUCCAGGGGCAUCAUGACCACAUCCUGAUAUCCGCUGCCUUGGGCACGGCCACCACUUCUUGCCUUCCUUGGAGCAAAGAAUUAUGAGCUCUCCCGUACACGGCUGAAGCGCCUACAGGUGUGCGUGUCUGUGUUUUAACUUUUGCUCAUUCUUUUGUUUCUGAACAAGUGAAUUUCUCUUGCUGGAGCGUUUCAUUGAAAAGGAAUUUGGUUCUGAAGCUACUCUUGAAGCCUACGAUCUGAAAAACACAGGGGAAUUAUUUUGCUCUAUGUUGUGUUGUGGUUCCUGCCCAAGAGGUGGCAAUAGUUCAGACUUCAAACUUUUUUUGAAGGGCAGACUUCAAACUUAUUAAGCCAUAUGCUUAUAUCUCAGAAAUAAAUUAAAUAGCACAGGAAAGGAGCAACAACCUUAACUGAACAUAGAGUUGUGUUACAAGUUCCACGUGAACUAGCUUUUAGUGCAGGUGACGUCGCUAGCUUCUACAAUACCUUGGAUCGUUGAAAGUCUUAGUGCUCUCAACCUGUUCGAUGAAAUAACAACGAUGUUGUGUUUUUCAGGUCAGUCACCAAAAGGGGACAUCGACAGGCAUGUACCUCGCCAGACGCGUCUCUCUUGACCUGCAGGAUGAUUUCCAUGGCACGGCCCUCCUCAGGUCUGAGCACUACUAAGCAAUAAGCAUACCUUUGCACAAUCCUCUUUAUGUCAGUUUUGUAAACACCUCGGGCAAACUGUAUAUCUAUCGCCGAGGAUCUCAGGACUCCCAUUAGUUGGAACUUAGAAAUGAUGCUCUAAUACUACACUUGACACACAAAUAAGGAGCUGGCAUAUUAAAAUGGUUACUCUUUGGAACUUUGGUCAGUAUUUAGCAGUGUUCAAUAUUGAAGAGAUUACUAUUUGGCUUUAGAGUAUGAGGGCAUGUGUUUUUCAUUAUCUCUUUUACCCCCUGUCGGCGGUACUAAGUGGCUUAGCACUGAUGCAAGACGAACAUCAGUCGACUUAGACUUUGACCGCAAGUCACUUGAACGGUGUCAUUAAAACAACCUGAGCAAGAUUGGAGCUGAUGGGUAUUUGAGAUUGUUGCUUUUUGAUGGAACUGCAGCCAAAAGAAUCUCUUGCCUUGUCAAGCAAAAGAUUAAUGAUCUUGUGCAAGAUCUAAAUGUUACCAGUGAUGAUGGCUCUACAGAAACAUACAACUAUGAGCAGUCAGGUUCUUCAUUUAUGAAAUGUUCAGCCAAUUCGACCAUGUCAAAUGCAGUUUUGUGUGGAAGAGAGCUGGUAUAUUUGUAACUGAUGUGUAUGAUGGCACGUCUUCUGAAUGCAAGCUUCCUCUCGAUAGGAGAUCCUCCAGUUUCAGUGUGAUUUGAGUUAUAGCAUUGCUUAAUAAUUGCUUGAAUUUGACCUCCAUUUGAUUUUGAAAACUUAAGCCUUCUCAUGUAGGUGUUGAAGUCUGACGGAUUGGAGAAUCAGAUGGUAGUCGCUGGAGGGGCAAGGAACUCCCAUGCUUGCAGCGAUGCACUUGGUGGGCAUUCCUUGCAUUCUCCCGUAAAAUGACACGGGUUAAUGUAUUUAAUUAUAUCAAAGUUACCAUGUCUUUAUCAUGCCAGUAUGCCAAUGUGCCCAAAAAUUAGAUAAUAGAGGGAAGUUAGCAACUCCCAGCUCUGAAAGCAUACCAAAUAUUUUAGUUUUUAGGCUACUGCUCAAUUUUGAAGAGCUACUCCUUUGAACUAGAUAUGUGAGCUUUUUGUAAAUUAUAGGAUAUCAUAGUCUGCUAUGUGGAAAAAGAACUCUUUGAUGUUGGGUAUAUCCUGUAGUAUUUAAAUCAUUAUUUUUUACACAUGUGAUGCAAAUCUUAUUCGUUUAGAAAAAUGGUGUACCUACAGGAUUGAUACGAACUCAGAAUACAAAUUUUGGGACAACUAUUAACAUUGAAAGAGAAUGAAUGUGAACACAAUAUGUGUGCCGGUGUCUUCGGAUUCAGCAGUUAUAUCAGGAAUACCAAAGUAAAACAGGUACUCAGAUUUUUCUUAUUCUACAUUUUCCAGAUAUAGCAAAGGUUGUACCACAGAAAGUAUAAUUAAAGGUUGUAUAAUAUGCAAUGACGAUAUGCUCCAUUAUAUCCAGGUAAUUAAAGGUUGUAUAGCAAAAGCAUGUUUAAAAAUUUAAAUUACCAUGGCACAUUUAAAUCUUUUGGAGUACUAAACAAUCAUGCGGCCCUCUACAGAUUUCUAAAUUCAUGGUAGGACCACAGGAGAAUACUACUUUUUNNNNNNNNNNNNNNNNNNNNNNNNNNNNNNNNNNNNNNNNNNNNNNNNNNNNNNNNNNNNNNNNNNNNNNNNNNNNNNNNNNNNNNNNNNNNNNNNNNNNNNNNNNNNNNNNNNNNNNNNNNNNNNNNNNNNNNNNNNNNNNNNNNNNNNNNNNNNNNNNNNNNNNNNNNNNNNNNNNNNNNNNNNNNNNNNNNNNNNNNNNNNNNNNNNNNNNNNNNNNNNNNNNNNNNNNNNNNNNNNNNNNNNNNNNNNNNNNNNNNNNNNNNNNNNNNNNNNNNNNNGAUAGCGUCGAUGCCUUGCAAAGUUUCACAGAGAACAAGCUAUACGUGGAUUUCUUCCAAUUGCAGCAAGCUUCGAGCAAGCAAAACUAUACUCUAUAAAUAAUUUUCUUGAACCAGAGUUCUUUAUUUUCUUUGUAUUUUCACCUUUCCUUGUAGUGGAUUUCAAUGUAUUGAACACUCUCCUUAAUCAAUGGAAGCAACACCUGAUUGCCUUCAUAUAAAAAAACACAAUCUGAACACAUACAAGGCGAUGUAUAGCAGGAACAGAAAAAAAAUACUAUGCGAAGGUGAGUGCAAGUGCAUGAUUUUUUAGAGUUAUUUUCUUGGCAGAAGUUACUAUAUUCUCAAUAUACAUCAUAAAUAAUUAGGGAAUUCAAAAAAGGUCCGAAUUUUUUUAAAAUGAUAAUUUUGAAAUAAAAAGUUUAAUAAAUCAUAAAAUGUUUGUUGAGUCAAAAAUUGUUUGUGAUUUUGUAAAACAAUGUAUGCUUAUUCAAAAAAUGUCCCAAAUUUUGAAAACCAAUGUUCAGGAAAUCAAGCAAUGUUCAUGAUUCUUAUAAAAUAUUUGUGCAUUAAAAAAUUGUAAUGAAAUUGAACAGAAUUUCGCCAAUUCAAAAAAUCUUUAUGAAUGGAAAAAUAUCCUUAAAAAUCAAAAACUGUUCGUGACUUACAAAAUAGUUUAUUCAUUCAUUAAAUAUUCGUUGAUUGAAAUAUGAUUAUGCAUUUCGGAAAAUGUUCAUGGAUUUCAAAAAUUGUUCCACCAAUUUCCAAAAUAAUGUUCGUCGAUUCUAGAAAUGUUCACCGAUUCAAGAAAAUUGUUUAAAAAACUGUUGACACUUUAAAAAAUGUUUUAAAAUAUUAUACAAAUGUUCAUGAAUCAAAUAAUGUUCUUGAUUUUAGAAAAUGUUCGGAAAUUUGUAAAUGUGUCCACAAAUUUGAGAAAUGUUUACGAUUUCCAAUAUGUGCACGAGUUUAAAAAAAUGGCAUGAUUUCAUGAAAUUGAGUGUGAUAGUGUAUCUUGCUGAUGCAACAAAAUGUGGUCAUGACCGUUGAAGAUUAUAUUUUUUUCUCCCGUUGCAACGCACGGGCCCUUUUGCUAGUAUACUCUUAAGUCAAUAGAAAUAGACGAGUCAGAUGCCGUGCUCGUGUGAUUGCUUGGUCCUCGGAUAAUCAACCGUAUGCCUCGGAUUUAUUCUAACAAGUGAUAUUAGAGCUAGGUUACGAGGUUGAUCUAAGGCGAAGAUAUCGUGGAAGAACUAAUCGUCGGCGAGAUCGGAAGAAACAGUGCGGUGUCACGAUCGCGUGGAACAAACCGAGUGUAUACGUACUCGGAGUCGGCGAGGUUGGGACGUGGCCUACGACAGUGCGGCAAGGCAGCUGGGCCAAGCGGUCCAGCAGGCACGCGAGCAGGCAGCCCAAGCGACGGAAGGACGCAUGCAAGGACGGCUGAGCGUCAACUCGAUCGAUUGCGGCGUGCAGAUUUUAGCGAUACGUGGUGCAAUCGGAAACAACAAGGAAACGUACGUAUAUACGUGAUGUUGGGGAACGUUGCAGAAAACAAAAAUUUUCCUACAGUUUCACCAAGAUCCAUCUAGGAGUUCAUCUAGCAACGAGUGAUUAGAUGCAUCUACGUACCUCGUAGAUCGCGAGCGGAAGCGUUCAAAGAACGGGGAUGAUGGAGUCGUACUCGACGUGAUUCGAAUCACCGAAGAUCCUAGCACCGAAAUGGACGGCACCUCCGCGUUCAACACACGUAUGGUCAGCAUAACGUCUCCUUCUUCUUGAUCCAGCAAGGGGAGAGGAGAGGUUGAGGAAGAUGGCUCCAGCAGCAGCACGACGGCGUGGUGGUGAUGGAGCUGCAGUACUCCGGCAGGGCUUCGCUAAGCACUAUGGAGGAGGAGGAGGUGUUGGAGAGGGAGAAGGAGGCAACCAAAGGCGUGCAUCAAAAAGCCCUCCUUCCCCCCUUAUAUAUAGGAGGGCCAAGGGGGGGGCGCCGGCCUAGGAGAUCCAAUCUCCUAGGGGGCGGUGGCCAAGGGAGGUUUCCCUCCCUCCCAAGGCACCUAGGGGGUGCCUUCCACUUGUGGGACUCUUCCCCUUUUGGAACCCUAGGCGCAUGGGCCUCUAGGGGCUGGUGCUCUUGGCCCAUGUAGGCCAAGGCGCACCCCCUACAGCUCAUGUGGCCCCCCGGGGCAGGUGGCCCCACCCGGUGGGCCCCCGGGACCCUUCCGGUGGUCCCGGUACAAUACCGGUGACCCCGAAACUUGUCCCGAUGGCCGAAACAGCACUUCCUAUAUAUAAUUCUUUACCUCUGGACCAUUCCGGAACUCCUCGUGACGUCCGGGAUCUCAUCCGGGACCCCGAACAACAUUCGGGUUACUGCAUAUACAUAUCCCUACAACCCUAGCGUCACCGAACCUUAAGUGUGUAGACCCUACGGGUUCGGGAGACAGGCAGACAUGACUGAGAUGGCUCUCUGGUCAAUAACCAACAGCGGGAUCUGGAUACCCAUGUUGUCUCCCACAUGUUCCACGAUGAUCUCAUCGGAUGAACCACGAUGUCGAGGAUUCAAGCAACCCCGUAUGCAAUUCCCUUUGUCAAUUGAUAUGUUACUUGCCCGAGAUUCGAUCGUUGGUAUCCCAAUACCUCGUUCAAUCUCGUUACCGGCAAGUCACUUUACUCAUACCGUAAUGCAUGAUCCCGUGACCAGACACUUGGUCACUUUGAGCUCAUUAUGAUGAUGCAUUACCGAGUGGGCCCAGUGAUACCUCUCCGUCAUACGGAGUGACAAAUCCCAGUCUUGAUCCGUGUCAACCCAACAGACACUUUCGGAGAUACCCGUAGUAUACCUUUAUAGUCACCCAGUUACGUUGUGACGUUUGGUACACCCAAAGCACUCCUACGGUAUCCGGGAGUUACACGAUCUCAUGGUCUAAGGAAAGGAUACUUGACAUUGGAAAACUCUAGCAAACGAACUAUACGAUCUUGUGCUAUGUUUAGGAUUGGGUCUUGUCCAUCACAUCAUUCUCCUAAUGAUGUGAUCUCAUUAUCAAUGACAUCCAAUGUCCAUAGUCAGGAAACCAUGACUAUCUGUUGAUCAACGAGCUAGUCAACUAGAGGCUUACUAGGGACAUGUUGGUGUCUGUUAUUCACACAUGUAUUACGAUUUCCGGAUAACACAAUUAUAGCAUGAAUAAAGACAAUUAUCAUGAACAAGGAAAUAUAAUAAUAAUGCUUUUAUUAUUGCCUCUAGGGCAUAUUUCCAACAGUCUCCCACUUGCACUAGAGUCAAUAAUCUAGUUACAUUGUGAUGAAUCGAACACCCAUGGAAUUCUGGUGUUGAUCAUGUUUUGCUCUAGGGAGAGGUUUAGUCAACGGAUCUGCUACAUUCAGGUCCGUGUGCGCUUUACAAAUAUCUAUGUCUCCAUCUUGAACAUUUUCACGAAUGGAGUUGAAGAGACGCUUGAUGUGCCUUGUCUUCUUGUGAAACCUGGGCUCCUUGGCAAGAGCAAUAGCUCCAGUGUUGUCACAGAAGAGUUUGAUUGGCCCCGACGCAUUGGGUAUGACUCCUAGGUCGGUGAUGAACGCCUUCACCCAAAUUGCUUCAUGCGCUGCCUCUGAGGCUGCCAUGUACUCCGCUUCACAUGUAGAUCCCGCCACGACGCUCUGCUUGCAACUGCACCAGCUUACUGCCCCACCAUUCAAAAUAUACACGUAUCCGGUUUGUGACUUAGAGUCAUCCAGAUCUGUGUCGAAGCUAGCGUCGAUGUAACCCUUUACGACGAGCUCUUCAUCACCUCCAUAAAUGAGAAACAUUUCCUUAGUCCUUUUCAGGUACUUCAGGAUAUUCUUGACCGCUGUCCAGUGUUCCUUGCCGGGAUUCCUUUGGUACCUUCCUACCAAACUUACGGCAAGGUUUACAUCAGGUCUGGUACACGGCAUGGCAUACAUAAUAGAACCUAUGGCUGAGGCAUAGGGGAUGACACUCAUCUCUUCUAUAUCUUCUGCCGUGGUCGGACAUUGAGCUGAGCUCAAUUUCACACCUUGCAACACAGGCAAGAACCCCUUCUUAGACUGAUCCAUAUUGAACUUCUUCAAUAUCUUAUCAAGGUAUGUGCUUUGUGAAAGACCUAUGAGGCGUCUUGAUCUAUCUCUAUAGAUCUUGAUGCCUAAUAUAUAUAUGCAGCUUCUCCAAGGUCCUUCAUUGAAAAACUUUUAUUCAAGUAGGCCUUAAUGCUGUCCAAGAGUUCUAUAUCAUUUCCCAUCAAAAGUAUGUCAUCUACAUAUAAUAUGAGAAAUGCUACAGAGCUCCCACUCACUUUCUCGUAAACACAGACUUCUCCAUAAGUCUGUGUAAACCCAAACACUUUGAUCAUCUCAUCAAAGCGAAUGUUCCAACUCCGAGAUGCUUGCACCAGCCCAUAAAUCGAGCGUUGGAGCUUGCACACCUUGUCAGCAUUCUUAGGAUCGACAAAACCUUCUGGAUGCAUCAUAUAAAAUUCUUCCUUAAGGAAACCAUUAAGGAAUGUCGUUUUGACGUCCAUCUGCCAUAUUUCAUAAUCAUAAAAUGCGGCAAUUGCUAACAUGAUUCGGACGGACUUUAGCUUCGCUACCGGUGAGAAAGUCUCAUCGUAGUCAACCCCUUGAACUUGUCGAUAACCCUUAGCGACAAGCCGAGCUUUAUAGAUGGUCACAUUACCAUCCGCGUCUGUCUUCUUCUUAAAGAUCCAUUUAUUUUCUAUGGCUCGCCGCUCAACGGGCAAGUCAGUCAAAGUCCAUACUUCGUUUCAUACAUGGAUCCUAUCUCGGAUUUCAUGGCUUCUAGCCAUUUGUCGGAAUCCGGGCCCGCCAUCGCUUCUUCAUAGUUCGAAGGUUCACCGUUGUCUAACAACAUGAUUUCCAAGAUAGGGUUGCCGUACCACUCUGGUGCGGAACGUGUCCUUGUGGACCUUCGAAUUUCAGUAGGAGCUUGAUCAGAAGUAUCUUGAUCAUCAUCAUUAACUUCCUCUCUAAUCGGUGCAGGCACCUCAGGAACAUUUUCUUGAGUUGCGCCAUUUACCGGUUCAAGAGGUAAUACUUCAUCAAGUUCUACUUUCCUCCCACUUACUUCUUUCGAGAGAAACUCCUUCUCUAGAAAGGAUCCAUUCUUGGCAACAAAGAUCUUGCCUUCGGAUCUGAGGUAGAAGGUAUACCCAAUAGUUUCUUUAGGGUAUCCUAUGAAGACGCAUUUUUCCGACUUGGGUUCGAGCUUUUCAGGUUGAAGUUUCCUGACAUAAGCAUCACAUCCCCAAACUUUUAGAAACGAUAGCUUAGGUUUCUUCCCAAACCAUAAUUCAAACGGUGUCGUCUCAACGGAUUUUGACGGAGCCCUAUUUAAAGUGAAUGCGGCAGUUUCUAAAGCAUAGCCCCAAAAAGAUAGCGGUAAAUCAGUAAGAGACAUCAUAGAUCGCACCAUAUCUAAUAGAGUGCGAUUACGACAUUCGGACACACCAUUACGCUGAGGUGUUCCAGGCGGCGUGAGUUGUGAAACUAUUCCACAUUUUCUUAAGUGUGUGCCAAACUCAUGACUCAAGUAUUCUCCUCCACGAUCUGAUCGCAGGAACUUGAUUUUCCUGUCACGUUGAUUCUCAACCUCACUCUGAAAUUCCUUGAACUUUUCAAAGGUUUCAGACUUGUGUUUCAUUAAGUAGACAUACCCAUAUCUACUCAAGUCAUCAGUGAGGGUGAGAACAUAACGAUAGCCCCCGCGAGCCUCAACACUCAUUGGACCGCACACAUCAGUAUGUAUGAUUUCCAAUAAGUUGGUUGCUCGCUCCAUUGUUCCUGAGAACGGAGUCUUGGUCAUUUUACCCAUGAGGCAUGGUUCGCACGUGUCAAAUGAUUCAUAAUCAAGAGACUCUAAAAGUCCAUUAGCAUGGAGCUUCUUCAUGCGUUUGACACCUAUGUGACCAAGGCGGCAGUGCCACAAGUAUGUGGGACUAUCAUUAUCAAUCUUACAUCUUUUGGUACUCACACUAUGAACAUGUGUAGCAUUACGCUCGAGAUUCAUUAAGAAUAAACCAUUCACCAUCGGAGCAUGACCAUAAAACAUAUCUCUCAUAUAAAUAGAACAACCAUUAUUCUCGGAUUUAAAUGAGUAGCCAUCUCGUAUUAAACGAGAUCCUGAUACAAUGUUCAUGCUCAAACUUGGCACUAAAUAACAAUUAUUGAGGUUCAAAACUAAUCCCGUAGGUAAAUGUAGAGGUAGCGUGCCGACGGCGAUCACAUCGACCUUGGAACCAUUCCCGACGCGCAUCGUCACCUCGUCCUUCGCCAGUCUCCGCUUAUUCCGCAGCUCCUGUUUUGAGUUACAAAUGUGAGCAACCGCACCGGUAUCAAAUACCCAGGAGCUACUACGAGUACUGGUAAGGUACACAUCAAUUACAUGUAUAUCACAUAUACCUUUCAUUUUGCCGGCCUUCUUGUCCGCUAAGUAUUUGGGGCAGUUCCGCUUCCAGUGACCACUUUCCUUGCAAUAAAAGCACUCAGUCUCGGGCUUGGGUCCAUUCUUUGGCUUCUUCCCGGCAGCUUGCUUGCCGGGCGCGGCAACUCCCUUGCCGUCCUUCUUGAAGGCUUUCUUACCCUUGCCCUUCUUGAACUUAGUGGUUUUAUUCACCAUCAACACUUGAUGUUCCUUUUUGACUUCUACCUCUGCUGAUUUCAGCAUUGCAAAUACUUCAGGAAUGGUCUUUUCCAUCCCCUGCAUAUUGAAGUUCAUCACAAAGCUCUUGUAGCUCGGUGGAAGCGACUGAAGGAUUCUGUCAAUGACCGCGUCAUCCGGGAGAUUAACUCCCAGCUGAGUCAAGCGGUUAUGCAACCCAGACAUAGUGAGUAUGUGCUCACUGACAGAACUGUUUUCCUCCAUCUUACAACUGAAGAAUUUGUCGAAGACUUCAUAUCUCUCGACUCGGGCAUGAGCUUGGAAAACCAUUUUCAGCUCUUCGAACAUCUCAUAUGCUUCGUGUCUCUCAAAACGCUUUUGGAGCCCCGGCUCUAAGCUGUAAAGCAUGCCGCACUGAACGAGGGAGUAGUCAUCGGUACGUGCCUGCCAAGCGUUCAUAACGUCUUGUUCUGCAGGGAGAAUAGGUGCAUCACCUAGCGGUGCUUGUAGGACAUAAUCUUUCUUGGAAGCUAUGAGGAUGAUCCUCAGGUUCCGGACCCAGUCCGUGUAGUUGCUGCCAUCGUCUUUCAGCUUGGUUUUCUCUAGGAACGCGUUGAAGUUGAGGACUACGUUGGCCAUUUGAUCUACAAGACAUAUUGUAAAGAUUUUAGACUAAGUUCAUGAUAAUUAAGUUCAUCUAAUCAAAUUAUUCAAUGAUUUCCCACUUAGAUAGACAUCCCUCUAGUCAUCUAAGUAUAACAUGAUCCGAGUUAACUAGGCCGUGUCCGAUCAUCACGUGAGACGGACUAGUCAACGUCGGUGAACAUCUUCAUGUUGAUCGUAUCUUCUAUACGACUCAUGCUCGACCUUUCGGUCUUCUGUGUUCCGAGGCCAUGUCUGUACAUGCUAGGCUCGUCAAGUCAACCUAAGUGUUUUGCAUGUGUAAAUCUGUCUUACACCCGUUGUAUGUGAAUGUUAGAAUCUAUCACACCCGAUCAUCACGUGGUGCUUCGAAACAACGAACUGUCGCAACGGUGCAUAGUUAGGGGGAACACUUCUUGAAAUUAUUAUGAGGGAUCAUCUUAUUUACUACCGUCGUUCUAAGUAAACAAGAUGCAAAAACAUGAUACACAUCACAUGCAAUCAAAUAAUAAACGUGACAUGAUAUGGCCAAUAUCACAUAGCUCCUUUGAUCUCCAUCUUGGGGCUCCAUGAUCAUCUUGUCACCGGCUUGACACCAUGAUCUCCAUCAUCAUGAUCUCCAUCAUCGUGUCUCCAUGAAGUUGCUCACCAACUAUUACUUCUACUACUAUGGCUAACGCGUUUAGCAAUAAAGUAAAGUAAUUUACAUGGCGUUUCUCAAUGACACGCAGGUCAUAUAAAAAAUAAAGACAACUCCUAUGGCUCCUGCCGGUUGUCAUACUCAUCGACAUGCAAGUCGUGAUUCCUAUUACAAUAGCAUGAACAUCUCAUACAUCACAUAUAGAUCAUUCAUCAUUCAUCACAACUUUGGCCAUAUCAUAUCACAAAGCACUUGCUGCAAAAACAAGUUAGACGUCCUCUAAUUGUUGUUGCAAGUUUUACGUGGCUGAAUCAGGGUUCUAGCAAGAACGUUUUCUUACCUACGUGAAAGCCACAACAUGAUUUGCCAACUUCUAUUUACCCUUCAUAAGGACCCUUUUCAUCGAAUCCGCUCCAACUAAAGUGGGAGAGACAGACACCCGCCAGCCACCUUAUGCAACUAGUGCAUGUUAGUCGGUGGAACCGGUCUCACGUAAGCGUACGUGUAAGGUUGGUCCGGGCCGCUUCAUCCCACAAUACCGCUGAAGCAAGAUAAGACUAGUAGCGGCAAGAAAGUUGACAAAUCUACGCCCACAAAAAAUUGUGUUCUACUCGCGCAAGAAGAACUACGCAUAGACCUAGCUCUGAUACCACUGUUGGGGAACGUUGCAGAAAACAAAAAAUUUCCUACGGUUUCACCAAGAUCCAUCUAGGAGUUCAUCUAGCAACGAGUGAUUAGAUGCAUCUAAGUACCUCGUAGAUCGCGAGCGGAAGCGUUCAAAGAACGGGGAUGAUGGAGUCGUACUCAACGUGAUUCGAAUCACCGAAGAUCCUAGCACCGAACGGACGGCACCUCCGCGUUCAACACACGUACGGUCAGCGUAACGUCUCCUUCUUCUUGAUCCAGCAAGGCGAGAGGAGAGGUUGAGGAAGAUGGCCCCAGCAGCAACACGACGGCGUGGUGGUGAUGGAGCUGCAGUACUCCGGCAGGGCUUCGCUAAGCACUAUGGAGGAGGAGGAUGUGUUGGAGAGGGAGAAGGAGGCAACCAAAGGCGUGAAUCAAAAAGCCCUCCUUCCCUCCUUAUAUAUAGGAGGGCCAAGGGGGGGGGCACCAGCCUAGGAGAUCCAAUCUCCUAGGGGGGCGGCCAAGGGAGGUUUCCCUCCCCCCAAGGCACAUAGGGGGUGCCUUCCACUUGUGGGACUCUUCCCCUUUUGGAACCCUAGGCGCAUGGGCCUCUUGGGGCUGGUGCACUUGGCCCAUGUAGGCCAAGGUGCACCCCCUACAGCCCAUGUGGCCCCCCGGGCAGGUGGCCCCACCCGAUGGGCCCCCGGGACCCUUCCGGUGGUCCCUGUACAAUACCGGUGACCCCGAAACUUGUUCCGAUGGUCGAAACAACACUUCCUAUAUAUAAUUCUUUACCUCCGGACCAUUCCGGAACUCCUCGUGACGUCCGGGAUCUCAUCCGGGACUCCGAACAACAUUCGGGUUACUGCAUAUACAUAUCCCUACAACCCUAGCGUCACCGAACCUUAAGUGUGUAGACCCUACGGGUUCGGGAGACAGGCAGGCAUGACCGAGACGGCUCUCCGGUCAAUAACCAACAGCGGGAUCUGGAUACCCAUGUUGGCUCCCACAUGCUCCACGAUGAUCUCAUUGGAUGAACCACGAUGUCGAGGAUUCAAGCAACCCCGUAUGCAAUUCCCUUUGUCAAUCGAUAUGUUACUUGCCCGAGAUUCGAUCGUUGGUAUCCCAAUACCUCGUUCAAUCUCGUUAUCGGCAAGUCACUUUACUCGUACCGUAAUGCAUGAUCCCGUGACCAGACACUUGGUCACUUUGAGCUCAUUAUGAUGAUGCAUUACCGACUGGGCCUAGUGAUACCUCUCCGUCAUACGGAGUGACAAAUCCCAGUCUUGAUCCGUGUCAACCCAACAGACACUUUUGGAGAUACCCGUAGUAUACCUUUGUAGUCACCCAGUUACGUUGUGACGUUUGGUACAUCCAAAGCACUCCUACGGUAUCCGGGAGUUACACGAUCUCAUGGUCUAAGGAAAGGAUACUUGACAUUGGAAAACUCUAGCAAAUGAACUAUACGAUCUUGUGCUAUGUUUAGGAUUGGGUCUUGUCCAUCACAUCAUUCUCCUAAUGAUGUGAUCUCGUUAUCAAUGACAUCCAAUGUCCAUAGUCAGGAAACCAUGACUAUCUGUUGAUCAAAGAGCUAGUUAACUAGAGGCUUACUAGGGACAUGUUGGUGUCUGUUAUUCACACAUGUAUUACGAUUUCCGGAUAACACAAUUAUAGCAUGAAUAAAGACAAUUAUCAUGAACAAGGAAAUAUAAUAAUAAUGCUUUUAUUAUUGCCUCUAGGGCAUAUUUCCAACACGUGAUCCUUAUCUCUCCGCUCUCUGGUCAGCAGCGACCACCCAAGGUCGCCCCGAUCCAUGGCCCUCUCCUUUCGCCCAGCUUGGGUCCGUCGCCGGUCGUCCAUGGGGCGAGCACUGCGCCUCCUCUUGAAGCUCCUAUUUUUGUGCUGCCCCGCCUGCACUGCCCACCAGCGCCUUCCGAGAACUCAUGGUUGCCUUCUGCCAAGCUGCCGGAUUGAUGGAUGACCGCCGCCAUGACCGACCUCAACCUUCUGCAUGCCAUGGGCAACGGCCAUGGAGGCCGCACCUCCGGCCUCUCGCUUGACGCUAGCCAGGACCUCCGCCAACAUCUCAUUCAUCUAUAUCAAGGACCGAUCUACGUCACCCGAGGUUGACAGCAGUUCGGCCAGGGGCAUCACGACCACAUCCUGAUAUCCGCUGCCUUGGGCACGGCCACCACUGCUUGCCUUCCUUGGAGCAAAGAAUUAUGAGCUCUCCCGUACACAGCUGAAGCGCCUACAAGUGUGCGUGUCUAUGUUUUAACUUUUGCUCAUUCUUUUGUUUCUGAACAAGUGAAUUUCUCUUGCUGGAGCGUUUCAUUGAAAAGGAAUUUGGUUCUGAAGCUACUCUUGAAGCCUACGAUCUGAAAAACACAGGGGAACUAUUUUGCUCUAUGUUAUGUUGGGGUUCCUGUCCAAGAGGUUGCAACAGUUCAGACUUCAAACUUUUUUUUGAAGGGCAGACUUCAAACUUAUUAAGCCAUAUGCUUAUAUCUCAGAAAUAAAUUAAAUAGCACAGGAAAGGAGCAGCAACCUUAACUGAACAUAGAGUUGUGUUACAAGUUCCACGUGCACUAGCUUUUAGUGCAGGUGACGUCGCUAGCUUCUACCGUACCUUGGAUCGUUGAAAGUCUUAGUGCUCUCAACAUGUUCGAUGAAAUAACAACGAUGUUGUGUUUUUCAGGUCAGUCACCAAAAGGGGACAUCGACAGGCACGUACCUCGCCAUACGCGUCUCUCUCGACCUGCAGGAUGAUUUCCAUGGCACGGCCCUCCUCAGGUCUGAGCACUACUAAGCAAUAAGCAUACCUUUGCACAAUCCUCUUUAUGUCAGUUUUGUAAACACCUUGGGCAAACUGUAUAUCUAUCGCCGAGGAUCUCAGGACUCCCAUUAGUUGGAACUUAGAAAUGAUGCUCUAAUACUACAGUUGACACACAAAUAAGGAGCUGGCAUAUUAAAAUGGUUACUCUUUGGAACUUUGGUCGGUAUUUAGCAGUGUUCAAUAUUGAAGAGAUUACUAUUUAGCUUUAGAGUAUGAGGGCAUGUGUUGUUCAUUAUCUCUUUUACCCCCUGUCGGCGGUACUAAGUGGCUUAGCACUGAUGCAAGACGAACAUCAGUCGACUUAGACAUUGACCGCAAGUCACUUGAAUGGUGUCAUUAAAACAACCUAAGCAAGAUUGGAGCUGAUGGGUAUUUGGGAUUGUUGCUUUUUGAUGGAACUGCAGCCAAAAGAAUCUCUCGCCUUGUCAAGCAAAAGAUUAAUGAUCUUGUGCAAGAUCUAAAUGUUACCAGUGAUGAUGGCUCUACAGAAACGUACAACUGUGAGCAGUCAGGUUCUUCAUUUACGAAAUGUUCAGCCAAUUCGACCAUGUCAAAUGCAGUUUUGUGUGGAAGAGAGCUGGUAUAUUUGUAACUGAUGUGUAUGAUGGCACGUCUUCUGAAUGCAAGCUUCCUCUCGAUAGGAGAUCCUCCAGUUUCAGUGUGAUUUGAGUUAUAGCAUUGCUUAAUAAUUGCUUGAUUUGACCUUCCAUUUGAUUUUGAAAACUUAAGCCUUCUCAUGUAGGUGUUGAAGUCUGACGGAUUGGAGAAUCAGAUGGUAGUCGCUGGAGAGGCAAGGGACUCCCAUGCUUGCAGCGAUGCACUUGGUGGCAUUCCUUGCAUUCUCCCGUAAAAUCACACGGGUUCAUGUAUUUAAUUAUAGCAAAGUUACCAUAUCUUUAUCAUGCCAGUAUGCCAAUGUGCCCAAAAAUUAGAUAACAGAGGGAAGUUAGCAACUCCCAGCUCUGAAAGCAUACCAAAUAUUUCAGUUUUUAGGCCACUGCUCAAUUUUGAAGAGCUACUCCUUUGAACUAGAUAUGUGAGCUUUUUGUAAAUUAUAGGAUAUCAUAGUCUGCUAAGUGGAAAAAGAACUCUUUGAUGUUGGGCAUACCCUGUAGUAUUUAAAUCAUUGUUUUUUACACAUGUGAUGCAAAUCUUAUUCGUUUAGAAAAAUGGUGUAUCUACAGGAUUGAUACGAACUCAGAAUACAAAUUUUGGGACAACUAUUAACAUUGAAAGAGAAUGAAUGUGAAGACAAUAUGUGUGCUGGUGUCCUGGGAUUCAGCAGUUGUAUCAGGAAAACCAAAGUAAAACAGGUACUCAGAUUUUCCUUAUUCUACAUUUUCCAGAUAUAGCAAAGGUUGUACCACAGAAAGUAUCAUUAAAGGUUGUAUAAUAUGCAAUGACGAUAUGCUCCAUUAUAUCCAGGUAAUUAAAGGUUAUAUAGCAAAAGCAUGUUUAAAAAUUUAAAUUACCAUGGCACAUUUAAUUCUUUUGGAGUACUAAACAAUCAUGCGGCUCUCUACAGAUUUCUAAAUUCAUGGUAGGACCACAGGAGAAUACUACUUUUGGGGGGGGGGGAGAUAAUUGUUGAACGGAUAGCGUCGAUGCCUUGCAAAGUUUCGCAGAGAACAAGCUAUAUGUGGAUUUCUUCCAAUUGCAGCAAGCUUCGAGCAAGCAAAACUAUACUCUAUAAAUAAUUUUCUUGAACUAGAGUUCUUUAUUUUCUUUGUAUUUUCACCUUUCCUUGUAGUGGAUUUCAAUGUACUGAACACUCUCCUUAAUCAAUGGAAGCAACACCUGAUUGCCUUCAUAUAAAAAAACACAAUCUGAACACAUACAAGGCAAUGUAUAGCAGGAACAGAAAAAAAAUACUGUGCGAAGGUGAAUGCAAGUGCAUGAUUUUCUAGAGUUAUUUUCUUGGCAGAAGUUACUAUAUUCUCAAUAUAUAUCAUAAAUAAUUAGGGAAUUCAAAAAAGGUCUGAAUUUUUUUUAAAAUGAUAAUUUUGAAAUAAAUUUUUUAAUAAAUCAUAAAAUGUUUGUUGAGUCAAAAAAUGUUCGUGAUUUUGUAAAACAAUGUAUGCUUAUUCAAAAAAUGUUCCAAAUUUUGAAAACCAAUGUUCAGGAAAUCAAGCAAUGUUCAUGAUUUUUAUAAAAAGUUAGUGUAUUAAAAAAUUGUAAUGAAAUUGAACAGAAUUUCGCCAAUUCAAAAAAUCUUUAUGAAUGGAAAAAUAUCCUUAAAAUUCAAAAACUGUUCGUGACUUACAAAAUAGUUUAUUCAUUCAUUAAAUAUUCGUUGAUUCAAAAAUGAUUAUGCAUUUCGGAAAAUGUUCAUGGAUUUCAAAAAUUGUUCCACCAAUUUCCUAAAUAAUGUUCGUCGAUUCUAGAAAUGUUCACCGAUUCAAGAAAAUUGUUUAAAAAAUUGUUGACACUUUAAAAAAUGUUUCAAAAUAUUAUACAAAUGUUCAUGAAUCAAAUAAUGUUCUUGAUUUUAGAAAAUGUUCGGAAAUUUGUAAAAGUGUCCACAAAUUUGAGAAAUGUUUACGAUUUCCAAUAUGUGCACGUGUUUAAAAAAAUGGCAUGAUUUCAUGAAAUUGAGAGUGAUAGUGUAUCUUGCUGAUGCAACAAAAUAUGGUCAUGACCGUUGAAGAUUAUAUUUUUUUCUCCCGUUGCAACGCACGGGCCCUUUUGCUAGUAUACUUUUAAGUCAAUAGAAGUAGACGAGUCAGAUGCCGUGCUCGUGUGAUUGCUUGGUCCUCGGAUAAUCAACCGCAUGCCCCGGAUUUAUUCUAACAAGUGAUAUUAGAGCUAGGUUACGAGGUUGAUCUAAGGCGAAGAUAUCGUGGAAGAACUAAUUGUCGGCGAGAUCGGAAGAAACGGCGCGGUGUCACGAUCGCGUGGAACAACCCCAGUGUAUACGUACUCGGAGUCGGCGAGGUUGGGACGUGGCCUACGGCAGUGCGGCAAGGCAGCUGGGCCAAGCGGUCCAGCAGGCACGCGAGCAGGCAGCAAGGACGCAUGCAAGGACGGCUGAGCGUCAACUCGAUCGGUUGCGGCGUGCAGAUUUUAGCGAUACGUGGUGUAAUCGGAAACAACAAGGAAACGUACAUAUAUACGUGAGAUUUGUUUUGGAAAAAAGGAAGGGGACCAAGUCCCUGUUACGAGUCGUAGACGUGAAGCAGCGAGGCAGCUCUUUGUACAUGGCAUCAGGUUGGAAAAGGCUUGGGCAUGCAAAGCUAGCAUUGGAAGUUAUGCAAGGGAGCUAGUCCACAUGAAGGCCAAAGCUAUCUUUGGAUUUGCAACUAGUAUACUCGGUGUACUCGGGGAUCAUGGAAAGAGUGCUCGAUGUUUUUUCACAGGUCAGACGUACAAAGAAUCAUGGUGUCAAUGGGUAUCAGGUUUGAGGUGGAGAAAUUCGAUGGAAUUGAUGACUUUGGGUUAUGGAAGACAAUGGUGAAAAUAAUUUGUUGGCACAACAAGGAUGCUUGAAGGCAUUGCUGGAUGUCAAGCCAGACGGACAAUGAGGAUUGUGAGAAGUUGCAUAUGGCUGCGGCAAAGGAAAUUCGGCUCGGGUCAGACAUAUAGGGCGUUUGCUUGGACAGUCUGACGAAUCGACGCAAAUCAGUUGGUACAGAAGACAGUGUAGGGAUCGGCGAUGAUGACAUAUGAGCGUGAUGCUUAUGGUGACUAACUUCUGGGGCAUGGAAACAUGUGGCGCAAGCCUGAGGCUUGUGUGUCUUCGACAAGACUAUGGCGUAGGGUUGAUUCAAGAUGGUGCACAUGAGAGCUUGGAGUCGACGGGGCGCGAGGGUGGACUGAUCAUCUACCAUGGAGUCAUGUUGAAGGGGGAGCUGGAUUGAGGGGCUACGGUGUAAGGAUCCAGAGAAUCGAAGCCUAUUCAGCGGGAAAAGCGAGUGACACGUAAUUCGGACUGGAGCCCAGUGGUCUGAUGGAAGCGUGAAACUCGUCAUCGGUCGGUGAUGAUCGAUGGUACUCUGCAGUAGGGGUUGAGUGGUGUGGGUUCAUGACCCUUGGGACUCGGCCGGGACAGCAGAGGCUCGACGCGGUAAUAGCGGCGAGGCGUGCGGUACGCACGGGACAAGGAGACAGAUCAGGGCUCCGGUGGCCACACAUAUGGUGAGACAACUGCGAAUUUGACUCGGGAUGACUACAAGCAAUGGUGAAAUUCCUUCAAGUUUCAGACAGACAGUCAAGGAAGAGCGGUGAUGUUGAGUUCAGGUAACUCUUAUGUGUGACACCCAAUAUGUGAGUUGUUCAUUUUCACGCAGGUUAGUGAUCAGUGUGUGAUGGAGUUUGGACGGAUACUCUAAAAGUUGAGAGCACAAGCUAGAGUAACAAGGAACUUAAUUUUGCUUGAGCGUUGACUGUGAUCAAGAAAAGAAGGGACUAUGCUACAUCUUGAGCACUUGCGUUGGUUUUCCCUUGAAGAGGAACGGGUGAUGCAGCAGAGUAGCGUAAGUAUUUCCCUCAGUUUUUUAGAACCAAGGUAUCAAUCCAGUAGGAGGCUACGCGCGAGUCCCUCGCACCUACACAAAACAAAUAAAUCCUCGCAACCAACGCGAUAAGGGGUUGUCAAUCCCUACACGGUCGCUUACGAGAGUGAGAUCUGAUAGAUAUGAUAAGAUAAUAUUUUUGAUAUUUUUAUGAUAAAGAUGCAAAGUAAAAUAAAAGCAAUGAAAAUAACUAACUAUUGGAAGAUUAAUAUGAUGAAGAUAGACCCGGGGGCCAUUGGUUUCACUAGUGACUUCUCUCAAGAGCAUAAGUAUUUUACGGUGGGUGAACAAAUUACUGUUGAGCAAUUGACAUAAUUGAGUAUAGUUAUGAGAAUAUCUAGGUAUGAUCAUGUAUAUAGGCAUCACGUCCAAGACAAGUAGACCAACUCCUGCCUGCAUCUACUACUAUUACUCCACACAUCAACCGUUAUAUAUCCAGCAUGCAUCUAGAGUAUUAAGUUCAAGAGAACAGAGUAACGCUUUAAGCAAGAUGACAUGAUGUAGAGGGAUAAAUUCAUGCAAUAUGAUAAAACCCAUCUUGUUAUCCUCGAUGGUAACAAUACAAUACGUGCCUUGCUGCCCCUACUGUCACUAGGAAAGGACACCGCAAGAUUGAACCCAAAGCUAAACACUUCUCCCAUUGCAAGAAAGAUCAAUCUAGUAGGCCAAACCAAACUGAUAAUUCGAAGAGACUUGCAAAGAUAACCAAUCAUACAUAAAAGAAUUUAGAGAAGAUUCAAAUAUUGUUCAUAGAUAAACUUGAUCAUAAACCCACAAUUCAUCGGUCUCAACAAACACACCGCAAAAUAAGAUUACAUCGAAUAGAUCUCCACAAGAGAGGGGGAGAACUUUGUAUUGAGAUCUAAAAAGAGAGAAGAAGCCAUCUAGCUAAUAACCAUGGACCCGAAGGUCUGAGGUAAACUACUCACACUUUAUCGGAGAGGCUAUGGUGUUGAUGUAGAAGCCCUCCGUGAUCGAUGCCCCUCCGGCGGAGCUCCGGAACAGGCCCCAAGAUGGGAUCUCGUGGUUACAGAAAGUUACGGCAGUGGAAUUAGGGUUUUGGCUCCGUCUCUGAUCGUUUGGGGGUACGUAGGUAUAUAUAGGAGGAAGGAGUACGUCGGUGGAGCAAAAGGGGGCCCACGAGGGUGGAGGGCGCGCCUAGGGGGUAUGCGCGCCCCCUACCUCGUGGCUUCCAUGUUGGUUGCUUGACGUAGGGUCCAAGUCUCCUAGAUCUUGUUCGUUCCAAAAAUCACGUUCCCGAAGGUUUCAUUCCGUUUGGACUCCAUUUGAUAUUCCUUUUCUUCGAAACCCUAAAAUAGGCAAAAAAAAAUAGCAAUUCUGGGUUGGGCCUCCGGUUAGUAGGUUAGUCCCAAAAAUAAUAUAAAAGUGUAUAAUAAAGCCCAAUAAUGUCCAAAACAAAAGAUAAUAUAGCAUGGAGCAAUAAAAAAUUAUAGAUACAUUGAAGACGUAUCAAGCAUCCCCAAGCUUAAUUCCUGCUCGUCCUCGAGUAGGUAAAUGAUAAAAACAGAAUUUUUGAUGUGGAAUGCUACUUGGCAUAUUUUCAAUGUAAUUCUUCUUAAUUGUGGCAUGAAUAUUCAGAUCCGAAAGAUUCAAGAUAAAAGUUUAAUAUUGACAUAGAAAUAAUAAUACUUCAAGCAUACUAACUAAGCAAUUAUGUCUUCUCAAAAUAACAUGGCCAAAGAAAGUUCAUCCCUACAAAAUCAUAUAGUUUAGUCAUGCUCCAUUUUUGUCACACAAGAAUGCUCUCAUCAUGCACAACCCCGAUGACAAGCCAAGCAAUUGUUUCAUACUUAGUAAUCUCAAACUUUAUAAAUCUUCACGUAAUACAUGAGCGUGAGCCAUGGAUAUAGCACUAUGGGUGGAAUAGAGUAUAAUGACGGGGGUUAUGUGAAGAAGACAAAAAGGAGAAAGUCUCACAUCGACGAGGCUAAUCAAUGAGCUAUGAAGAUGCCCAUCGAUUGAUGUUAAUGCAAGGAGUAGGGAUUGCUAUGCAACGGAUGCACUAGAGCUAUAAAUAUAUGAAAGCUCAACAAAAGAAACUAGUGGGUGUGCAUCCAACUUGCUUGCUCACGAAGACCUAGGGCACUUGAGGAGGCCCAUUGUUGGAAUAUACAAGCCAAGUUCUAUAAUGAAAAAUUUCCAGUAGUAUAUGAAAGUGACAAAAUAAGAGACUCUCUAUCAUGAAGAUCAUGGUGCUACUUUGAAGCACAAGUGUGGAAAAAAUAUAUUAGCAUUGUCCCUUUACAUAUAUAUUUUUGGGCCUUCUUUUUUUGGCCUUUCUCUUUUUUUUAUAUAUAUUGGGACAAUGCUCUAUUAAAUGAUGAUCAUCACACUUCUAUUUAUUUACAACUCAAUGAUUACAACUCGAUACUAGAACAAGGUAUGACUCUAUAUGAAUGCCUCCGGCGGUGUACCGGGAUAUGCAAUGAACAAAGAGUGACAUGUAUGAAAGUAUUAUGAACGGUGGCUUUGCCAGAAUUACUAUGUCAACUACAUGAUCAUGCUAAGCAAUAUGAUAAUGAUGAAUGUGUCAUGAUAAACGGGAUGAUGGAAAGUUGCAUGGCAAUAUAUCUUGGAAUGGCUAUGAAAAUGCCAUAAUAGGUAGGUAUGGUGGUUGUUUUGAGGAAGAUAUAAGGAGGUUUAUGUAUGAAAGAGUGUAUCAUAUCAUGGGGUUUGGAUGCACCGGCGAAGUUUGCACCAACUCUCAAUGUGAGAAAGGGCAAUGCACGGUACCGAAGAGUCUAGCAAUGAUGGAAAGGUGAGAGUGCGUAUAAUCCAUGGACUCAACAUUAGUCAUAAAGAACUCACAUACUUAUUGCAAAAAUCUACAAGUCAUCAAAAACCAAGCACUACAUGCAUGCUCCUAGGGGGAUAGAUUUGUAGGAAAAGACCAUCGCUCGUCCCCGACAGCCACUCAUAAGGAAGACAAUCAAAGAACACCUCAUGUUUCAAAUUUGUUACAUAACGUUUACCAUACGUACAUGCUACGGGACUUGCAAACUUCAACACAAGUAUUUCUCAAAUUCAAAACUACUCAACUAUCACAACGUUAAUAUCACUACCUCCAUAUCUCAAAACAAUCAUCAACCAUCAAACUUCUCUUAGUAUUCAAAACACUCAUAAGAAAGUUUUUACUAAUCUUGAAUACCUAGCAUAUUAGGAUUAUUUAAGCAAAUUACCAUGCUAUUUAAGACUCUCAAAAUAAUCUAAGUGAAGCAUGAUAGAUCAAUAGUUUCUAUAAAACAAAUCCACCACCGUGCUCUAAAAGAUAUAAGUGAAGUACUAGAGCAAAACUAUAUAACUCAAAAGAUAUAAGUGAAGCACAUAGAGUAUUCUAAUAAUUUCUGAAUCAUGUGUGUCUCUCUCAAAAGGUGUGUGCAUCAAAUAUGAUUGUGGUAAACUAAAAAGCAAAGACUCAAAUCAUAUAAGACGCUCCAAGCAAAACACAUAUCAUGUGGUGAAUAAAAAUAUAGCUCCAAGUAAAGUUACCGAUGGAAGUAGACGAAAGAGCCCAAGCUUUGCCUUUUUGGUGUCCUUAGAUUAUCUUGGGGGUGCCAUGGUCAUCGCCAAGCUUAGGAUCUUGCCACUCCUUGUUCCAUAAUCCAUCAAAUCUUUACCCAAAACUUGAAAACUUCACAACACAAAACUUAAAAUAGAAAAUCUCGUGAGCUCCGUUAGCGAAAGAAAACAAAACACCACUUCAAGGUACUGUAAUAAACUCAUUCUUUAUUUAUAUUGGUGUUAAACCUACUGUAUUCCAACUUCUAUAUGGUUUAUAAACUAUUUUACUAGCCAUAGAUUCAUCAAAAUAAGCAAACAACACACGAAAAACAGAAUCUGUCAAAAACAGAACAGUCUGUAGUAAUCUGUAGCUAGCGCAACAUCUGGAACCCCAAAAAUUCUAAAAUAAAUUUAUGGAUGUAAGGAAUUUAUCUAUUAAUAAUCUGCAAAAAUAAUUAACUAAAUAGCACUUUCCAAAUAAAAAUUGCAGCAGUUCUCGUGAGCGCUAAAGUUUCUGUUUUUUACAGCAAGAUUAACAAGACUUUCCCCAAGCCUUCCCAACGGUUCUACUUGGCACAAACACUAAUUAAACACAAAAAACACAACCAAAACGGAGGCUAGAUAAAUUAUUUAUUACUAAACAGGAGCAAAAAGCAAGGAAUAAAAAUAAAAUUGGGUUGCCUCCCAACAAGUGUUAUCGUUUAACGCCUCUAGCUAGGCAUAAAAAAGGAUAGAUCUAGGUGUUGCCAUCUUUGGUAGGUAAUUCUUCGAUGAGGCAUCUACCAUCCUUAGGAAUUUCUUUAUUUUUAUUGAUUAUCAAACUUUUAGUCACAAGAUCGAAAAAUUCAUUUGUAACAAAUGGUUCCUUAAUGAUAGCAAAAAGAUUGGGAUGAAUACUUAUACAUUUGAGAUCCGCAGUUUCCUUACUAGAGGAUUCACCCUUAUUUUUAGGAACAUACAUAAGCUUGGCAAUUUUAGUGGGAGGACUUGGAGUAUUCUUUACGAAAGAAAAGACGGUUCCCAAGUUGGUAAUAAUAUCCUCAAGUUUAUCGAUUCUAGUGGAAUCCUGAUUUUUUUUCUCAUUAACUAUAGGUUCCUUUUCUUUAAUAUUUUUCAAAGUGACUCCUAAUUUAGAUACAUAUUGAGUGAUUCGGUUGUGGAUCUUUUUAUCCAAAUUUUCAAUUAACUGUACAGUAUCAACCUUAUUCUCAAUAAUUUCAAGUCUUCGCAUUACAUGCUCCGAAGUUAACAUAGUUCCAUUAACCAAAAGAGGUGGUGAGAGAAACAAAUCUAUCAUAGCAUUAUAAGAAUCAAAAGUAUGGCUACCCAAGAAGUUCCCUCCGGUAAUGGUAUCAAGGAUAUAUCUGUGCCAAGGAGUAGCGCCUACAUAAAAAUUGCAAAGAAGAACGGAAGUAGAUUGCUUCCUGGUAGAUCUAUUUUGAGCAUUGCAAAUUCUAUACCAAGCGUCUUUUAGAUUUUCUCCAUCCCUUUGCUUAAAAUUUAGAAUUUCAUUCUCGGGAGACAAUGGAGAAGAUAGAGGGCUCGCCAUAACGACAAGCAAACGGAAAAGAGAGGGAGGAUAGAGAGAGAGAGAGGGCGAAUAAAAUGGCAAGGGUGAAGUGGGGGGGGCGAGAGGCAAAUGGCAAAUAAUGUAAUGCGGGAGAUAAGGGUUUGUGAUGGGUACUUGGUAUGUUGACUUUUACGUAGACCUCCCCAGCAACGGUGCCAGAAAUGGCUCGUUGUCGGGAUUCGAACUUGACUUGCGCGAACCUCCCCAGCAACGGCGCCAGAAAUCCUUCUUGCUACCUCUUGAGCACUUGCGUUGGUUUUCCCUUAAAUAGGAAAGGGUGAUGCAGCAGAGUAGCAUAAGUAUUUCCCUCUGUUUUUGAGGACCAAGGUAUCAAUCCAGUAGGAGGAUACGCGCGAGUCCCUCGCACCUACACAAAACAAAUAAAUCCUCGCAACCAACAUGAUAAGGGGUUGUCAAUCCCUACACGGUCACUUACGAGAGUGAGAUCUGAUAGAUAUGAUAAGAUAAUAUUUUUGGUAUUUUUAUGAUAAAGAUGCAAAGUAAAAUAAAAGCAAUGAAAAUAACUAAGUAUUGGAAGAUUAAUAUGAUGAAGAUAGACUCGGGGGCCAUAGGUUUCACUAGUGGCUUCUCUCAAGAGCAUAAGUAUUUUACGGUGGGUGAACAAAUUACUGUUGAGCAAUUGACAUAAUUGAGCAUAGUUAUGAAAAUAUCUAGGUAUGAUCAUGUAUAUAGGCAUCACGUCCAAGACAAGUAGACCGACUCCUGCCUGCAUCUACUACUAUUACUCCACACAUCGACCGCUAUCCAACAUGCAUCUAGAGUAUUAAGUUCAAGAGAAUAGAGUAACGCUUUAAGCAAGAUGCCAUGAUGUAGAGGGAUAAAUUCAUGCAAUAUGAUUAAAAGAACUCAUCUUGUUAUCCUCGAUGGCAACAAUACAAUAUGUGCCUUGCUGCCCCUACUGUCACUGGGAAAGGACACCGCAAGAUUAAACCCAAAGUUAAGCACUUCUCCCAUUGCAAGAAAGAUCAAUCUAGUAGGCCAAACCAAACUGAUAAUUCGAAGAGACUUGCAACCAAUCAUACAUAAAAGAAUUCAGAGAAGAUUCAAAUAUUAUUCAUAGAUAAACUUGAUCAUAAACCCACAAUCCAUCGGUCUCAACAAACACACCGCAAAAGAAGAUUACAUUGAAUAGAUCUCCACAAGAGAGGGGGAGAACUUUGUAUUGAGAUCCAAAAAGAGAGAAGAAGCCAUCUAGCUAAUAACUAUGGACCCGAAGGUCUGAGGUAAACUACUCACAAUUCAUCGGAGAGGCUAUGGUGUUGAUGUAGAAGCCCUCCGUGAUCGAUGCCCCCUCCGGCGGAGCUUCGGAACAGGCCCCGAGAUGGGAUCUUGUGGAUACAGAAAGUUACGGCGGUGGAAUUAGGGUUUUGGCUCCGUCUCUGAUCGUUUGGGGGUACGUAGGUAUAUAUAGGAGGAAGGAGUGCGUCGGUGGAGCAACAGGGGGCCCACGAGGGUGGAGGGCGCGCCUGGGGGAUAGGCGCGCCCCCUACCUCGUGGCUUCCCUGUUGGUGGCUUGACGUAGGGUCCAAGUCCCCUGGAUCUUGUUCGUUCCAAAAAUCACGUUCCCGAAGGUUUCAUUCUGUUUGGACUCCGUUUGAUAUUCCUUUUCUUCGAAACCCUAAAAUAGGCAAAAAUCAAUAAUUUUGGGCUGGGCCUCCGGUCAGUAGGUUAGUCCCAAAAAUAAUAUAAAAGUGUAUAAUAAAGCCCAAUAAUGUCCAAAACAGAAGAUAAUAUAGCAUGGAGCAAUCAAAAAUUAUAGAUAUGUUGGAGACGUAUCAGACUACAAGUUGCAGGUGGAGUCAUAUCGAGUCUUUGGAGUAGCAGCGGUACUCAUGGGAUAAACUCAAGUCCACUAUACAUGUAAGUUUGACGCAUUGACAAAUUCAGGGUGGUGAAGAAUAUUCGCCAAGGUGGAGUUUGUUAGAGUUGUGUCGAAUAUGGUGUAUAAGGUAGGUUACAAUUGGACUUGUAGUAGUAUUGUGUUUAGAUAGGAUAUGGAGUCGUGUCCUAAAGGACACUUGUAUCCUAGGACUCUCAUAUAUAGCGAGGAUAGACACACGAUGUAACAUAUUCCAACAUAAUAGUACCGGAACACAGGGAAAGCCGGCGGCAUGUGCUGGCGUCCAGGGCGACCGGGUGCGGUAUUGUAGCGAUGUCAUGGGGAGGAGCGCCCAUAGUCAGGCCCCGGGGAUGUAUCCAUAUCGGUGAACCUCGUUAACAAAUCUCGGUGAUGUGCUCAUGUGAUUGCUUGGUCCUCGGAUGAUCAACAGUAUGCCUCGGAUUUAUUCUAACACAUGACAAAUUAAUGACUAAUUGACGACAAAUUAAAAUUAGUUCACAAAUGGGUAGGGUAUGGAUAUACCCGGGGGUACAAGGCUAUACCCGUACCUUACCCAUGACUUAACGGGUAGGGUAUGGGUACUACCCAUGGGUACAAAAGUGUGCCCAUACCCUGCCCAUGCUGGUAAAAUUGCCAUCCUUACGAGGGAUACAAGCAGAAGUACCAUAUGGUACGGUGGCCUGAAAUCUGCAAGGCGCGGGAUUAGGGCAGACUAGGGAUUAUGUCCUCCAAGUGCAUGAACAAUGCCCCCUGCCCCGUUGGUUGUGGCGGAUCGCUAAGGGAGAGGGCGGCUUGUGACCGGACAUUAUCCGGAACAAGUACCUUAGGGGACAGUCGCUUGACUUCAGUCAACGGUCGGGCGGCUCCUAGUUCUAACAGGCGAUCAUACAGCUACUACCGGUUCUCCGCAUUGGGACCUCCAUCAUGAUGGGGUCCGGUGCCUCCACCCUGUUUUGGUUUGAUUGAUGGGAUGGUGACCAUCCGUUCACGGAUCGUUUCGCAGACUUGUUCUCCAUUGUGAUAGAACCUAGGAUCUCCGUCGAGGCCGUCCUUAUUGAUUUAGGGCGCAUCGCGUUUCGGCGGCCAUUUGGGCCCCCGAACGUCCUUGCUUGGCAGGAGCUCCUCGACUGCAUCGCACUGCACGAACCUGAGUUGGCGCAAGCUAGCGACCAAAUCUCAUGGCGCCUGGAAACUUCCGGUAGGUUCUCCACAAAAUCCCUCUAUCAGGUCAUUGCGGCCUCGCCGGGCCCGGAGCCGCUCGCGGUGAUUUGGUCCAUCAAACUACCUCUAAAGAUUAGAAUCUUCCUUUGGCAAUGGAUCCGCGGUCGGGUCCCAUCUGGUAUUGAAGUGCUCAAGCGAAACUGUCCGGGUGAUGGAAUGUUCCCAUUGUGUGGGACGAAGGAAGAUUCAAACCACAUCUUCUUCUCCUGCAUAUCGGCGCCAUUCCUUUGGAGCUACCUCCGGGAAACUAUGGGCGCACGACACAUGGUGCAACAAUAACUUCCCCGACCUAUUCUCGGAGGCCCAGGCCCCACCUCCAAACACCCGUCACAUUAGGUGGCUCACGAUUGGAGUACUUGCUUGGAUGCUCUGGACGACCUGCAACAAGCCUGUGAUCCAACGUGUACCACUUUGACGUGCUACUGACGCGGUGUUUAAACUAUGUGGCUAGUUGCAGCUCUGGCGACCGCUUAGUCGCCCUCAGGACCGAGACACCAUCAACAUCAUCAUUGCAGAUCUCCGCGCGAUCGCUCUCCGAUGGGCGCCGCCGCUUCCUCCGCCACCUCCCGAGCCGGAUUAGCUUCUCUUCCGCUUGUGUUACUAGUGCUUUGUGGCUGCCUUUGCUUUGUUUUUUGGGCUUGUUGAGUUGUGCCCUCAGCAGAACCUUCUUGUACUUUGUGUUGUGCUACUUGGUGCACGUGUAUGCGUGUGGGCGGUGUGAACAUUGUUGGACCUUGUGGCUUGGUGGUUUGCAUUAUUUAUAAAGCGGGGCGAAAGUUUUUUUCGUAUAGGUCAAAGUAUAUAGAACAAUCAAUGACCGGCAACCAUACUCCCUCUCUGGCUUGGUGCAGCCAUGAAGCAAGGUCUGCAAGGAGAUAAAGCCGGGUUAUAAGGAUUGGUUGCAAUUUUAUCUAACCUCCUCUCUUGAUUAGCAAGUUUAUACUUGUUAUAAUCUUUCCUUCAUUACGUCCAAUAUGUAUUGGUCCAAGUCAUAGUCAUAUUCACUUACCAUAUGCAAAAGUUUGAACACCAGUCCAAAUAAAUUUCCAAAAGAAGAUCCAAAUCAAAAUUCAACCAAGAGCCACAUGAAUGAAAUUCAAAGAAACGGAAGAUGCAAAAAAAUUGGGGUGUUACAUUUGUACAAUUAAGUGACCAUACAUUUUGUAGUAUUCAAUAUAUAUUUGAACAUUUUAUUUAUGUGUUCUUUCUAUUCCCACGUUUUAGAAAUCCCAUGAAUAAAGAAAAAAAAGGUAGCAGCCCAAGGCCAAAGAACGAAGUAGAUGCCAGAGCAGAGCGGAUGGCUGGUACAAUAUACUGUACACGUAGCCGAAAAACUUGUCAUUGAUGUCCGAAGGUAAAUACAGUUCUAACACCCACGAUGUGGCUAUAUGUCCCACGUGUCGGAGCACGACUUAGAGGCAUAACCGCAUAGUAGACAUGUCGCAAGAGGGGUAAUCUUUACACAUCUCAUGUACUGAAUAAGAAAGGGAUAAGGAGUUGGCUUACAAUUGCCACUUCACACAAUACAUAAAUAUAGCAUUACAUCAUCCAGAAUACAAUCAAGGUUCGACUACGGAACCAACAUAAAUAAAGACAACCCCAAAUGCAUAGAUCCCCGAUCGCCCCAACUGGGCUCCUCUACUAAUCGUCCGGAAAGGAAACAUAGUAACGUUCAGAAUCAUCUUCGAACUCCCACUUGAGUUCGGUCGCGUCCCCUGCACUGGCAUCAUCGGCACCUGCAUCUAGUUUUGGAAGUAAUCUGUGAGUCACGGAGACUCAGCAAUCUCACACCCUCGUGAUCAAGACUAUUUAAGCUUAUGGGUAGGAAAAGGUAGUGAGGUGGAGCUGCAGCAAGCACUAGCAUAUAUGGUGGCUAACUUACGCAAAUGAGAGCAAGAAGAGAAGCAAAGCAUGGUCGAGAAGCUAUAAAGAUCAAGAAGUGAUCCUGAAACUAAUUACGUUCAAGCUUACACGAGACCGUGUUCUCUUCCCAGACUCCGCCGAAAAGAGACCAUCACGGCUGCACACGCGGUUGAUUCAUUUUAAUUAAGUUAAGUUUCAAGUUCUGUACAACCGGACAUUAACAAAUUCCCAUCUGCCCAUAACCGCGGGCACGGCUUUCGAAAGUUCAAAACCCUGUAGGGGUGUUCCAACCUAGCCCAUCACAAGCUUUCAUGGUCAACGAAGGAUAUUCCUUCUCCCAGGACGACCCGAUCAGACUCGGAAUCCUGACCACAAGACAUUUCGACAAUGGUAAAAUAAGACCAGCAAAGCCGGCCGAUGUGCCGACAAAUCCCGAUAGGAGUCGCACGUAUCUCAUUCUCAGGGCACACCGGAUAGGUCAAGCUACGAGUAAAACCAACCCUCGAGUUGCCCCGAGGUGGCCCCGCAGGCCGCCCGUUUCGGACCAACACUCAGAGGAGCACUGGCCCGGGGGGGUUUAAAAUAAAGAUGACCCUUGAGUCCGCGGAACCCAAGGGAAAAGGCUUAGGUGGAAAAUGGUAAAACCAAGAUUGGGCCUUGCUGGAGGAGUUUUAUUCAAGGCGAACUGUCAAGGGGUUCCCAUUAUAACCCAACCGCGUAAGGAACGCAAAAUCAAGGAACAUAACACUGGUAUGACGGAAACUAGGGCAGCAAGAGUGGAACAAAACACCAGGCAUAAGGCUGAGCCUUCCACCCUUUACCAAGUAUAUAGAUGCAUUAAAGUAAACAAGAUAUAAUAAUGAUAUCCAACAAUAAUCACGUUCCAACAAGGAACAAACUCCAUCAUCACCUACAACUAGCAACGCUAUAAGAGGGGCUGAGCAAAGCGGUAACAUAGCCAUACAACGGUUUGCUAGGACAAGGUGGGUUAGAGGUUUGACAUGGCAAUAUGAGAGGCAUGAUAUAGCAGGUGGUAGGUAUCGCGGCAUAGCAAAAGAGCGAGCAACUAGCAAGCAAACAUAGAAGUGAUUUCGAGGGUAUGGUCAUCUUGCCUGCAAAGUUCUCCAAGUUGACGUAAGCUUGAUCCUCGUAAGCGUACUCAACGGGUUCAUCGAUCAUGAACUCGUCUCCCGGCUCUACCCAAGGCAAGAACACAAGCAAAGGAAACCACAAUCAACCACGGUGCAAUGCGCAAGCAACAUGAUGCAAAACAUGGCAUGAUAUGCGGGAUGUGAUAUGCAAUGCAUAUGCGUGCUUCGGAAGGGAAAGAUUGGACCAGGCAUCAACUUGGAAAACCAAGUGCGCCGCUGGAAAUAUAAGUUGAUUUCGGUCGAAAUCGAUAUAAAAAUCACCGGAAUCGGAUGCACGGUUUGCAAAUGGCAAGCAAAACAAGAAUGGCACAAUUCUGCGAUUAACAGCACAAUGUCAUCUAAAAUGCAACAAGAAACUAAGCUACUGCACUCUAACAUAGCAACAAAGCACAUGGCAGUAAUCUACUCAAGAUGCUUGACAAAAGAUGAACACUGAGCUACGGCUAAAUCACAUAAGAACAGGUUCAAACAAGCAUGACAAAAGUGCAAAAGAUAUCAGCUUCACAGACUUAGUGAAAAUACUAACAUGUCAGGAAUUUAUACGAGGAAACAAUGUUUAGAGCAAGAUAACAACAUGCUACAGGAACAGAUCAUAGGAAACAAAGGCAUGGAAUGAAUCUACUCAAAGCAUAGAACAAAAGUCCCUUAAUGACCAUAAGCCAAAAGGGCACAGAAAAUAUGAUGGCACCCAUGUAAACAUAACAAGUUUCGUCAACAGAUUCAGACUUAGCAGAAAACUGGACAUGGCAUAAACAGAAUUAUGAAUGCCUCUUUGCGAGCUCGAUUCACUCACCACAAGACAUUGCAUGACAAUAUAAGCAUAGCAAUAGUAAGAAGACAUGUUCGUGAAGCUAAACAUGGCAAGAAAAAUCUCAUAACAUGCAUGGAUCAACUACAACAACCUUGGCAAAAUUGAUUAACACGUAAACAACCUGCCAGGAACAUUUUAUAGCAAACAUAGAGCAAGAUUGAGUCAUACUAGGGCACUCCAUAAAUGCAAACAUGUGCAUGGAUGGAUAGAGCAUGACCAUAUGUCCAAAUCAUCCUUACUGAACAUACUCAAAAGAAGCAUGGAUCUCAUUGUAGCAACAUGAACACAUGGCAUAAAAAUAACUGCAGGGAAAUGACUUAGUGAAAUUCUAAGUCACUGAAAUCAGCAAUAUCACGAGAGCUACUUUGCAUGCUUGUGCUAGUCACCACAUUAUGACAAAAAUACAUGGCAUACACCCCUGUAAAGAUGGCAUGGCAUAGCCCAAAACACAUGUGGAGCUCAUUCCCAUAUGCAGCACACACCAAUUGUAGCAAAAAUGACAAAAGCUCAUAAUCUGCUACGUAACAGGAACUAACAUUUUCUAGCACUCUUGCAUCAAUAAUUUGGGCAUCAAGAUGGACUCAAACAAGCAGGUCACAAUGGAACACAAUGAAGAUCACAUCCAGAUGAACAUUUUGAUAUAUUAUGCACGCAAAACGGAUCUACGGAUGCGGAGUUAUGGCAUGAUGAACAGAGCUAAAAUAUAUAGCAGAAAAUGACUUGGUAGAAUUUCGAAGUCAACCCUAGGGUUUUCCAGAUCUGGAUCUGGGGCUUCGACACGGACUUCGAGGUUGACCGGAGAAGGAGUUCNNNNNNNNNNNNNNNNNNNNNNNNNNNNNNNNNNNNNNNNNNNNNNNNNNNNNNNNNNNNNNNNNNNNNNNNNNNNNNNNNNNNNNNNNNNNNNNNNNNNNNNNNNNNNNNNNNNNNNNNNNNNNNNNNNNNNNNNNNNNNNNNNNNNNNNNNNNNNNNNNNNNNNNNNNNNNNNNNNNNNNNNNNNNNNNNNNNNNNNNNNNNNNNNNNNNNNNNNNNNNNNNNNNNNNNNNNNNNNNNNNNNNNNNNNNNNNNNNNNNNNNNNNNNNNNNNNNNNNNNNNNNNNNNNNNNNNNNNNNNNNNNNNNNNNNNNNNNNNNNNNNNNNNNNNNNNNNNNNNNNNNNNNNNNNNNNNNNNNNNNNNNNNNNNNNNNNNNNNNNNNNNNNNNNNNNNNNNNNNNNNNNNNNNNNNNNNNNNNNNNNNNNNNNNNNNNNNNNNNNNNNNNNNNNNNNNNNNNNNNNNNNNNNNNNNNNNNNNNNNNNNNNNNNNNNNNNNNNNNNNNNNNNNNNNNNNNNNNNNNNNNNNNNNNNNNNNNNNNNNNGGAAGGUGGUGGCGCGCGCGGCCCGGGUCGGGAGGGCCGGCGAUGGGCCCGAGCGGGCCUGGCGGCGGGGCGGAGGCCAGGGACAGGUGGCGCGCCCCUGUUGGCUGCGGCGGCGGAGGUGGACGUGUCCGGCACCGGCGGACACGUCCGGCGGCGGAGAGGGAGCGGGGCUAGGGUUAGACUGCGCGAAUAUCCGGGAGGGGCACAUAUUUAAAGGUAGAGGGAGGUAGGAGAGUCUAAAUGAAGUGCGGUUUUCGGCCACGCGAUCGUGAUCGAACGGCCGAGAGGAUGGAGGGGGCUUGGAUGGGUUUUGGACCACUUUGGAGGGGUGUUGGGCUGCAACACACAUGAGGCAUUUACGGUUCCCCGGUUAACCGUUGGAGUAUCAAACGGAUUACAAAUGACACGAAACUUGACAGGCGGUCUACCAGUGGUGUACCAAGACCGCUUGGCAAAUCUCGGUCCAUUUCAAGAAUGUUUAACACCCGCACACGAAGAGACAAAAGGGGACGCCGGAGGACGUAGGAGUGUCGGAAUGCAAAACGGACAACGGGGAAAAUGCUCGGAUGCAUGAGACAAACACGUAUGCAAAUGAGAUGCACAAAAUGCAAAAUGAAGACAAAAUCCAACCACAAGAAAAUCUUAUAACUUAGAGCCGAUAAUGGCAAGAGUUGGAGUACAAAUAUGAUAAGUUACAUCCGGGAUAUUACAACAGUACAAUAGAUAGGUCUACGCAUGCUUCGCGAAGCACAUUGUACUGACGUCAAAUGCUGCCAUGGCCUAAAGAUAUACAAAGUCUGCCGUAUCUCCAACUCUAGCUUCGGUGGCCUAAAGAUAUGCAAAAUCAGAGUUGUAGAUGUGCUAUAUAUAUGUGAUAUAUCCCUCCAUCCUGAGGUAGCAUAGAGCGACCGCAGCCCAGACUUAGCACAUCGAUGGCCAUGGGGAUCAAGAACACUCUCCAAUGCGUUGUGUUCCUGAUGGCGCUCAUCAUGACCCACCUGAUACCGCCUGCCGAUGCUGAUGCAGGCAGCCCAAAAGUCGUCAUGGCUAGCUCGGGCGCUGGUUCAAGCUUCCGACUGGUAGCCCACCAUGACUAUGCACUGCGCGACGACGGCUUCCUCCAAGUCCAGAGCCGGCUGGACGACCUUCUUCCAUCGGAGGCGAACGUCAACACCCUCCGCCCACCUAUGGCCUCACCAAUCGAUAUGGCUUUCAGCGUGGUCGUUGGCUUGGGCUCGGGCAAAGGCCGGCACGACUACAACCUCAAGCUCGACGCCUCGGGUAGCCUGGUGUGGCUGCAGUGCAAGCCCUGCAAUCCGAAGCAGCCACAGCGCGGCCCCCUGUUCGACCCCAAGGCCUCGUCCACCUUCCAGCAGGUCGCCGGCACGAGCCAGAUCUGCCACCCGCCGUACCCCAUGGAGCCCGCAGGGCAGCAGUGCUCCUUCCACCUGUCCGGCGAGCACGGCAUGUCGGUGCACGGCUUCGUGGCCUUGGAGAACCUCACCAUGGGGCCAGAGUCCAUGAAGGAGUUGGUCUUCGGGUGCGCGCACUCGACGGAACACUUCAACAGCCAGCGCACCUUCGCGGGCGUCGCGGCCAUGGGUAAGAUGCCCACCUCGCUCGUCAUGCAGGUCGCGGCGCGCGGGCAGACGCAGUUCUCGUACUGCCUCUUCUCCGGCGGGGCUAGCCGGCAUGGCUUCCUCCGGUUCGGCGCCGACGUGCCUCGCCGGCCGGGCCUCCGAACAACCAAGAUCCUCCCGGCGCUGGACGCGCACGAGUCGCAGUACUACGUGAGCCUAGUGGGCAUCAGCCUGGACGCGAAGAGGCUGACGGGGGUCAGGCCGGAGAUGUUCGCCCGGCGGCACGGCGGGCAGGGCGGGUGCGUGAUUGACCCCGGCACGCCGCUGACGGUGCUGGUCCGGGAGGCGUACCGCGUCGUGGAGGAGGCCGUGUGGAGCGACCUGCGGCGGAACAGGGCGGAGCGCAUGCAGCGACAGGGCUACGGGCUGUGCGUCCGCAAGACCGUCGAGAUCAAGCGGCACCUCCAGUCGCUGUCCUUCCAUUUCGCGGAGGAGACGGCGAGGCUGGUCGUCAAGCCGGAGCAGCUGUUCACGGUGGUGGAGAGCAAGCUCCACGGGGCCGCCCUGUGCCUUGCCAUGAUCCCGGG
rnacentral:lncRNA from 1 species